rnacentral:lncRNA from 1 species
GGGCUCUCUCUUGUCCAGUGAGGGGAUCCAUGGAAUAGGGUGGAGGAGAGUGUGGCUGCAGAGUUGCUAAUCAACACCUCCGGAUACAAGCAGGAAGCCAGUCUGCACAGUUACCAUGUUUAUAUACUCAGGCAGUAGCUAAGCAGAUUACAGGCAGCCACCAAUGCAAUUUCUGCUAACCACCCUUGCAGUGACCAAUCACGACCAAUCAAGGAAUGGGCCACAGAGCAAGCACAGGGACUUCAACACAUGGCCUCACUCACGCCCAGGGCUGCGCCUACAGGGUAAGUGUUUGCCACUCACACACCUCCACACACAGCUAGCACAAAGGGAGUAGCCUGCCACUCAGACGGCCUGCCAUGCAUGCAGUACUCCAUGCACUUGUCCCCACAAGCAACUAUAAAUAGCUGCUUUAUUGACAACUUGUUUAUUAACACAUGGCUUGUGGAAUUAUUGCUCUACCUUUUUGUGUGUGUGUGGUACUGGGGAUUGAACUCAGGGCCUUGUGCAGGCAGGCACUCUAUCAACUGAGCUAUAUCUCCAGCCCAAGUUUGUGAAAUUAAAUCUAAGGAAAUAUACUCUCAAAUUGUAGAAAUUGUCUCAUAGCAUCAUUAACAGUUUUGGCUCUACCUUCUAUAUUUAUUAGCCAUGUGACUUAAGCAAAUGGUUUAACUUCUCCAAUUCUUAAUUUCCUUAUUUGUAAAUUAUGGUAAACUUUUAAAAAAAUCUCAGUUUUAUAUGCUGGUUUAUCUAUAGAACAAAUAGAUAAACAAAAAUGUGACAAAUCAUGAAAUUUUAUAUGUGUAAUCAUGAUACUUUAAACAUUAAAUUUCCAUACUAUCAUUGAAGAGCACUGGGUUUAGAUUGUGUCAUUAAUUUUAUCCUGAAUUUCAUUGAUUUUUCCUAUUAAAAGUAUAGGGCAGGGUUAAUUUAAAUAAUAUUUCUACCUGAGGGAGCUAUAAUGAUGCAAGACUGUUCUGGCAUAUAAUGUUAUUGAGGAAAAUGUGGAAACAAAGUUGCAAUCUUGAUCUCAUUCUUUCUUUUUAAAAAAUUCUUGUAGUUGUAGGUAGACAGAAUGCCUUUAUAUUAUUUGUUUUAUUUUUAUGAGGUGCUGAAGAUCUAACCUAGUGCCUCACGCAUGCUAGGCAAGCACUCUGCCACUGAGCUACAGCCCCAGCCCUUGAUCUCCUUCUUAAAAGCCUUGUGAUCUGUCACUGGUAGUCAUUGUAUUGCAUAGCCAGCUAGAAGUGAAUACAGAUUUAUUAGCGGAAAGGGAAUGUCAGUUGUCUUUGUUAUGUUGCCUGCAUACAUCCUCUGAAGAAGAGAGAAAUAGCUACAAAGGAGUGGUAAAAUUAGAGUGUUUUCUUGGCAAAUGCUUUAUUCUGGGGCUACAUUUUCUAACAGAGAGUAUUCAUAUUAUACUGAUUUUCUAUUUUAUGAUGUGUGCUUUCUAAAGCCUAUUAAUUCCUAGUACUUUGCAAAGAUGCAAAUGAAAAAAAUUUGAUCCACGAAAGAUGUAAAUGACAAAUUCAUGCAUUUUAAUAAACUGAGAAUUUAAUGUUAGAAAAGAACUCUAGGAUCAUAGAAUUUUAUGAUGGUAUGUUUGGCCUAGUAAACAACACUGGGAUCAUAUUUGUAGAGCAGACCUGUGUUUAUUCAUUUAUGGUAAAUAAAAAAGAUAAAUACUGUUUUGGGUAAUAUGAAUGGUUUGUUUCCUAUUUAGGACUUUUCUUGAAAAAAAAAUGUCCAUAAUCUUUACCAAGAAACCUAAAUCAUCCCAUUGAUCUGGCAGUAAAAUGUGACUCUCAUUUGAUUUUUUACGUAAGGGCAAAAUAAUCAGGAAAUCUUUUGUAAGCCUAUUAUGGUAACUUGGAAGUCAGAAAUGGAAGAAUUUCACAAGUCAAAUGAGAUAGAGCUAUAUGUCAAUAUUUGUAUACUGACUUGUGAAAACGAGCUCCAGUUGCCAGUUUCUUAUAGAGCCUUGCAAUUUGAAUUUACAUUAGUAAUCAAAAUGAAUGACCACAAAAUUUCCAUUUUAAAAAAACCUGACUUGCAGUUUUUGAGAAAAAUAACUUUAGAUAGUUUUGGCAACUGCUCAUUAAAUAUUUGAAUCUGGUUUUGUGCACAUAGAACACAUUCUAUUCAUUACAUUAACCACAUAGUAAAAAAAAAAAGCCAUUUACUUUUCUCAGUACAACUAAAAAGUUAAGUAUUAAGUGUGUAAUAAAUAUAUAGGAAUGAAAAAGUAAUUAGAAAUAUUAUUUGGAUACUAUUAUACUUUUCUUGAAAUUUAUCUGCAUAAUACUAAUUUUAUUUCUUAUUCAAUUACAUAAAAUUUUUUGGUUUCAAUUUAAUUUUUACUUUCUUUAUUUCCCUAAAUGAUUUUUAAAUAUUCCUAUAAUUCCUGAGCCAAAAUUUGUGUUUAAUUGUCCUACUGAUAACACUUAAAAAUAUUCUUAAAAGAACAUUUAAUUGUCUGUGACUUCAGAUAUUUUUUUUCUAUUUUUUUUAUUGGUNUCCCACCUCAUGUAUCUGUUGAAUGUUAAUCUUUUCUUCCUGCUCUUCCUCCCUGCUAUUUUUUCUUAACAUUUUAUUUUAGGCACUAUUAUCAAGUUGAAUAGUUAAAUCACAAUUUUAAAUAUUAUAUAAAAAUUAUGUAUUAUUUGAACUUUAAUCAAAUGUCACUUAUCUCAGAGUUUUUUCUUCUUUUGCAUGUUUUUAACAUCUUUUUGGUGGGUAAAGAUUGAAAGGAAUAAGAAAUGUGCUUUUAAUCAACAUCUAUCUGAUGAUAGAAUCUUUUAUUCUGCUAUUAAAUCUGAAAAAUUAGGAUUUCAGAUAAUGUUUUCAAUGAUAAUUAAAUUUCAUAUUGUCUGCCUUCAAUAAAUUUAUACAUUUUUUUUGCAUUUAUAAAUUUAAAUUGGGAGGGGGUAAGUUAUUUGAGUUACUUGGAGGGAAAAUUGAUAGCUAUGUUUACUAUUUUAAAUAAGAUAGAUGACAAAUUAAAUAAUAUAAGCACAAAUAACAUAAAUCUGAAAUUACUCUGGUGAUGGCAACAUUUUUAAGAGCUCUGAACAAAUUUUAAUGUAAUAUUAAGAACUCCAGAUGAUUAACUUUCCUUUAGGUAUUUUUAAAAAAUAUUUUAUUUCUUAUUUACUAGUUGGACACAACACCUUUAUUUUAUUUAUUUAUUUUUAUGUGUGGCUGAGGAUCGAACCCAGGACCUUGCAUGUGCUAGACAAGCGCUCUACUGCUGAGUCACAACCCUAGCCCUUUUCUUUAGUUUUUUAAUGAAGCUAAAUAUGUGUCAGAACCUCAAUAUUUAGAAAGUAAAUAAAAUAAAAUUAGACCUUUUAAAAUCUAUUUUUGCUAAUAACCAUUACUGGAAUAUUAUACAGAUUAUAAUAUGUUACUUUUUAUUUUUUCAAAUAUCUAUAAUGUUUUCAUGAAAAGAUGAUGGUAAUAAAGCAUCACUUUUGCUUUUGCUUUCAAGAAAAGAGUUAGAAAGUUUUUGGCUUACUGUGAGGUUAAUGACCAGAAUAUAUUUGAUUUUUGAAAUUCUCCACGGAAUGGAAAUGAAAAUAAUUUAGUAUGAAAAACCCUAAUCCAGACUCAAAUUCUUAAUGUAAGAAGAAAUUUGCUUGAAAAAGAGUUAAAGGGAAUAACUUAAUUAGAAAUCAGAGUUCUAACAAGAAGCUCUAUGCAGUUUCUAUUAUGUAUCAAAAAUGUUUCUUUUGCAUUUUAUACUCCUCAAAGUCAUCUGACAUUUAUACAAAGUCAAAGUGGAUUUACUAUGAAAAUAAGGAAGUUUAAUUUUCAUGACCCCUGUGUUAUUCAGCUUUUCAUUGUUGUGUCUCACAUACCUGACAAGAACAACUUAGAGAAAGAAAUAUUUAUUUUGGUUUGUGGUUUCAGAGGAUUUGGUUCAUGGUCAGCCAGGUCCAAGGCAGAAAAAUCACUGUAGAAGGGCAGAGGAAAGCUUCUCAGAAGAUGGCAGCCAGAAACGGGGGCAGGGAGAGAGAGAGAUGGAGAGAGAGAGAGGGAGGGAGGGAGGGAGGAAUGAAGGAAGGAAGGAAGGAAGGAAGGAAGGAAGGAAGGAAGGAAGGAAGGAAGGAAGGAAGGAAGGGACCACAUAUAAGAAUCCAGGAAUAAGAUACAGUCCAAGGCCAUGUCCCCAUUGACCUACUUCCUCUAGCCAUCACUUACCUGCCUAUAGUUAAUAUCCAGUAUCCCAUUCAUAUUAUUACUCCAUCAAAUGGAUUAAUCCACUGAUGAGAUCAGAACUGUCAUUACCCAAUAUUUUCACCUGAACAUUGCUAUGAUGCUUAAUACAUGAGCUUUCUGGGGGAUAUUCCUAAUUCCAAACUAUAAUACUAUUCACUUGAAGAAAGACUUAUCUAUCUUGUCACUAUAGAAAGUGAUAUUUUAAAUAAUUAAUAUUUAAAGAAGUGGUGAGAGAAUAUGCAGUGAAAAAACACAGAAAAAAUACAAUUGUCAGGUCAAAUUAUUUUUUUUUGUGAUUUUUGUGAUAUCCAUGGUAAUUUUCAGUUUAUUAAAAUCUGUAAUUUGUUAUUUCUCAUUCUAAACAAAUGUGUACUUUCAUACAAAAUUUUAUAUUGUCACUCUUUCUUUAUUUUGGUACUGGGGAUUUAACCCAAGGGUGCUUUAUCACUGAGCUACAUCCCCCGCAAUUUUAAUUUUUUUAAAUUUUGAGACAGGUUUCACUAAGUUAUUUAGGGUCUCACUAAAUUGCUGAGGCUGGCCUUGAACUUACAAUCCUCUUGUCUCAGCCUCCCAAGAUUCUGGGAUUACUAGUGAGUGCCACUGCACCCUGCUUGUCACUCUUUUUCUUAAAGAGGAGCCCCAUAUUAUAAAACUUCCAGCUUUCCAAGAUCUCAACCCAAAGAAAUAUCUUUGCUUUUACGUGGUAAUUUGAAAAUAAUGUAAAAGUCAUAUUUUCAUAAGGCGUUACUUUCAUUUUUCCACAGUUGAAUUUUUGUGAAUUUUAGUUAUCCACUGCAGUGGUAGAUGAGUCAUUUUAAGUCAAUCUCUUAUUAUGAUAUCACCAUGAAACAUAUCUCUUAUAGAAAAUUAAUGGAGUGAAAAUUUCAUAUUGCAGCUUCAGAUUUGUGUACCACUUUUCCUAAUAUGGAGAUAUAUAUAUAUAUAUAUAUAUAUAUAUAUAUAUAUAUAUAUAUUUUUUUUUUUUUUUUUUUUUUUUUUUUUUUUUUUUUUUUUUUUUUUUUUUUUUUUUGUUUGUUUGUUUGUUUUGUUUUGUUUUGUUUUUCUGGAGGUAAAUUUUUAAUUUUUUUUUAAUUGUAGAUGAACACAAUACCUUUAUUUAUUUAUUUGUAUGUGGUGCUGAGGAUCAAACCCAGUGCCUCACAUGUGCAAAACAAGUGUUCUACCACUGAGCUCCAGCCCUACCCCUAAAGGUAAGAUUUAUGUUUUGCUAAUUAAUAAUGAUAUUUUCUGUGAUUUAACACUAAUUUUCUUUAUCUUCUUAUAAUAGCUCUUUAAUUUUUUCAGUUGUUUGAAUUUGUAAUGGUUUAGAUAUGAGGUAUCCUACCAAACUGAUGUGUGAGAAAAUGCAAGGAUUUUCAGAGGUGAAAUGAUUAUAUCAUAAGAGGUGUAAUGUAAGCAGUGGAUUAAUUCACUGAGUUAACUGGGAAAUAGCUGUAGGCAAGUAGGGAGGAGACAGGUGACUGGGGGUGUGACUUUGGGGUUAUAUAUGUCCGUGGUGAGAAGAGCUCUUUCUCCUUCCUGACUGCCAUGUCCUGAACUGCUUUCCUCCACUAGGCCCUUUGCCAUGAUGUUCUGCCUUAGUUCAGGCCCCUGAAGUUGGCUGAGCCAAACCUCUGAAACCAUGAGCCAAAAUGAACAUUUCCUCCUCAAAUUGUUCUUGUCAGGUUUUUUGGUCACAGUGACAAAAAUCUCACUAAAACAAAAUUAAAAAAAAAAUCAGGAAUGAAAAGGCUUACUUUCAGAGUGUAAGCAAUUUUCAAAAAAGCCUACUUUCAGAGCAUAAAAAAAUUUUCAAAAAAUGCAGAAGAACUAGAUUCAUUUUGAAAAGACAGAGUACACCAAGUAUAUUGGAACACACCUGUAAUCCCAGUGCCUCAGAAGGCUGAGGCAGAAGGAUCUGAAGUUUGAGGCCAACCUUAGCAACUUAGGGAGACCUUGUCUCGAAACAACAAAAUAUAAAGAGAUAGGGAUGUAUCUCAGUGGUAAAACACUCCUGGGUUCAAGCCCCAGUAUCACACACACGAAACAAACAGGAAACAAACAAAAAGCCAUUGUAACGACAGAGUUCUAUGGGUAGGAGCGUAACUCCUCAAUGGUAGAACACGUCCUUAGCGUGUGCAAGGCCCUGAAUUAAAUCUCUCUCUCUCUCUCUCUCUCUCUCUCUCUCUCUCUCUCUCUCUCUCUCUCUCUCCUCUGUCUCUGUCUCUCUCUCUCACACACAUAUAUACACACAGUUCUAAGAAUUAUUUUUCCAUUUUAAAACUUAUAUUAAGAAUGUUCAUAGACAAUCUAUGUCCUUAAAGAAUUCUUUUUCUUUUAUUUUUAGUGAAAGAAUUUCUAAUCAUGGCAUUUUACCUGUAUCUUUUCUCAUUUUUUAAAACAAAAUAUUUAUUGUCAUUCUAAAGCAAACUAACCUGGUAGUAUACAAUCCUUAGGCGGGGGAAAUAUCAGUAGUAUUGAUAAGAAUCUAGGCAUAUAUUAUCUCCUCACUGGAUUUUUGGGAGGCAUUCAACAUAAUUAUUAUUAGUUGGGGUCUGAAACUAUACUCUUGAGUUUCAAUCCUGGCUAUGCCACUCAUUGACCUAGUGAAUUUAUAGAGAUCAUUUAAUCUGUUUGUGCUUCUCUUCCUCUUUUGUCAUAUGCUAAUAAUGUUAAUAUGUAAACAAAUGCUUUUCUUAUGUAAUACCGACUUUAUCUGUUUUGUGUUGCUUUAACACAAUACCUGAGACUGGGUAAUUUAUAAAGAAAAUUAUUUCUUAUAGUUCUGGAGAAUGUGAAGUUCAAGGUCAAGGGACCUGUAUCUGGUGAGGGUUUUGUUAUUACAUUAUCCCAUGGUGGAAGGUGGAAGAGCAAAAGAACACAUGCAUCACAGAGGGGAGUGGGAUGGGGCAGGGAUCUCAAGAUAGGGCCAAUUCACUUUUAUUACAAAUCCACUGUCCAGAUAACAAACACACUUCCUCUGUAACAGCAUUAAUCUGUGCAUGAGGGCAGGGUCUUCAUAAUCUGAUAACAUCUUAUUAGGUCAUAGCUCCCAACACUAUUGUAUUGGGGAUUAAAUUUCCAAGCCUGUUCUUUGGGGUAUACAUCCAAACCAUAGCAAGUUCAUAGUAAACAACAAAAUAGAUGAGAGUUGUUAUUAUAAUGGUGCAAUAAUAAUAAUUUGGGGGCAUUUGGUUUUCAACAAGGGGACUGAAUGCAGGCUUUGUCCUAGUCUGUGAGGGCUACUAUAAAUAUUCUAGACUGGAAAUUUAUAAGCAACAGAGAGAGAAAACUCAAGAUCAAGGUGCUGUGUCAGAUUUGGUGCUUGUUGACAGCUCAUUCUCUGCUUCAUAGAUAGUGCUUUUUAUGCAGCAUCUUCAUAUGGUGGAAGGGGUGACAAAGCUCUGUUGAGCCUCAUUUAUUUAUUUUAUUCUUGGGGUACCAAGGAUUGAACUCAGGGACACUUGACCACUGAGUCACAUCCCCAGCCCUAUUUUGUAUUUUAUUUAGAGACAGGAUCUCACUGAGUUGCUUAGCUUUGGGGCCUCUUUUAUAAGGCAUUAAUUCUAUGACGUAUUUAAUCUCUUAGAGACCCCACUUCUUACUACCACCAUAUGGAAGACUAAGUUUCAACAUAUAAAUUAUAGGGGAGCACAAACCUUUAGGCUAUAGCAGUCAUAUUCCCCUCCAGGAGGCUUUGGAUGUUUCUGGAAAAUUGAAGUCCACUUUGUAUGUUAUAUAGUGUCCUAUUGGUCAUGCAGCCAGACACAAUAUAGAGACUUUGAUCUUAUUUAGGGGGACCUUUAGAAAACAUGAUUACAUUAUGAAAAUUAUUUAUUCAAGAUGGUUAACAUAAUAUAAUGUCUUCCUAGUUUUAGUAAGAGAAAAUCAUGUAUAGGAUUUGAAUUGAGAGCUAGAUUAUGAUGCUAAUUAUCAGCUGGUUUUUGUAGAAAUUUCUGGGAUAAAAUCAGAUUCUUUAAUUCUAUAUUUAUUCUAAUACCUGUACUUCUGCUUCACUAUGUCAGACAUUGUUUUAAGUGGGAGGGUUGUUUUUAAACCCUGUUAUAUGAAGUCACAUUAUUUUGCAGUACCUAAAGAUGCAAUGAUUGAGAAGGAGGGAAUUUAUGGCCUAUCAGGUGGGACUGGAGAGGUUGGGAGAGGGUGGAGGCCAAAGAGGUGGAACAGUGAUAAAAUUUGGCUGACUGGAAGGAUAAGGAAAUAGAAGAGCUUCUGAAUUGCAUGCCAAUCUUUCCAAAGUUCAGAGUAGUAAGCAAUUCCUGAGUGUUAGGACAAAGUGGAGCCAAUGUGCCUAGACUUAUCCAAGAGGAUUUUGGUUUCUUCUGUGAUGGUGCUGCCCCUUGUGGUAACUGCCUCUUGGAAAGGAGGUAAAGACAAGCCAGGAUUGUGUGGUAAGCCCCUGGCCAAUUUGGAUUUCAUGACUAAAUGAGUACAAAACAUUUGUGUCCUAUAAUUCCUCAUGCCUUGGUAAAAGAAUCUUUGCUAAAACAAGACUGAGAUUUUUAGAGUAUGAUUGAUUACCAAGAUGCAGAAAAGACUGCUUUCCAGACCCUGUCCUAAGUAGUUUAAUCCUGUGCUUGUGGAAUAACAUCAGAGCAAACAAGAAAUGUCUGUUGGCAGUUUCCCUUAAUAGUUCAUUAGAACUUCUCACCCAGCUAUUUUGAAACAUAUCUGUACUUCUGUAAAUAUACCGUGACACUUUGGAGUGAGAUAGGAAGUAAGAAGAAAAUGUCUAAUUGCAGUCAGUGUGAGAUCACUGACAGAUAUAAGAUGUGCUUAAGAAGAAAAAUUCCAUGUCGAGUGCAUCCUAUAGUUUCUUUGACCUCUAUUGUAAAUGCUGUUCUAUAGAGAUUUUUUGUUUGUUUGUUUUGUUUUUAUUUCCCCAAGAAUCUUCCAUAGUGUAGAGUCUUCAUUAAGAACAUAUGAUGGGCAGCUGGGGUGUGGCUCUGUGGUAGAGCACUUGCCUCCCAUGUGUGAUGCACUGGGUUCAAUCCUCAGCACUACACAAAAGUAAAUAAUAUAAAAAUACUGCAUCUGUGUAUAACUAGGGAUAUAUAUAUAUAUUUUAAAGAACAUAUGAUGGCCUGCCCAGAUUUAUCCCUUUGCCUUUGCCUCAGGCUUCAGUUUGCAUUUAGUAUGAUCUGUCAUUUAUAGGAGCUGUCUGGAGGCAACCAGACUUUUACUGCUGCCAUCCCUGGAGUAAGAAAAAUAAAGGAAAUAGAGUUAUACGAUAUAAGAAGAGAAUUUCAAGAGACCAUCUACAACAGUUUUCAAGCAACUUUUUCUUUCUCCUUCCUUUUCUUCCUCUCUCCUUUCUUUGCCCCAACUUCUUUCUCCCCUUCUGCCCUCCCUCCCUCCUUUUCUCUUCCUUCCUUGUGUCUUCCCUCCUCCUCUCCUUUCCCUUCCUUUUCUCCUUCCUUCCAUCACAUCUCUGUUCCUUCCCACACUCCUUCCUUUCUUCUCUCUCCCUUCCUCCCUUUGUUCUUUAUUUCCAUCUUCCAUUCCUUCUUCCUUCCUUUCUUAAAGUCUAAAGCCAUUUCUUCUGUGAAGGGUUUCUAUGGAAACCCACAGGAAGACAAGAUAAAGGCUGCUCUCCAGGAUGCGUGGAUGAGGCAGUGCCCAUAAUUUGUCCUGGUUGUGGUCAUGAGGAAAUACUUUAAAGAACAUUUGUUUGGUUCUAUUAAUAGAAAAAAAAAGACAUAAAAUUGACUUGCUUCGAUUUCUGAUUUUGGCUGUUGAGACAAUGAGUGCAUGGGACUUUCUGGUGAUGGGGAAAUUCUUGACAUGGAAUGCCACAUCUAGCCAUUGAAGUUUGAAAUUCUCUCCCCAUUUCUUACUUUCUAAAAAACUGUUUCAAUAUUAAGUGUAGAUAUGGUGGCAAAAUUAUAUGUGUCAAUUUUGUUUCUUUCUGUAACUCUGGGGUUGUGGUUCAUUGAUAGAGUGCUUGCCUAGCAAGUGUGAGGCACUGGGUUUGAUCCCUAUAAAAGUACCAUAUAAAAAGUAAAUAAAUAAAAUAAAGAUAUUGUGUCCAUCUACAACUAAAAAUAUUUUUUAUAAAAAGAUUAUGUGUACUGCACACAUAGCUCUAUUGCUGUAAUAACUGGGGACAAAUGUCUGGUAUAUGUAAAACUACAUACUUUAAGAAAAACUAAAAUCUUCCUUUUCUCUGAAACAAAUCUGUAUUAUGUAAUGACAGUGCAAAGGUAUUACUUAAAAAGUUUAUAAAAUAAUGGUCCCUCAAAAUUAGCUUAUCAAACUCUUGAAACAAACACCAAAUUUGUUAUAAAAAUUUAACACUUACUACACUGAAUAUAGUUUAUGUUUCUUCUCAAUGCCCUAAAGAUUAUAUACUUGAAAUUAGGACAUUACCUUGUAUAAAGCAGCACUUCAUUACGGUGAAGCAGCUGCGGGCUGCAGAAGCCCUUGCUCCUCUAGGGGGCAAUGCUUCACUUUCACAUCUGUAACCCAGAGGGAAGUUGAGAACAGCCUUCUUCCUUAGGCGACUAGAAGUGCUUUAUUCUCAUUCUCUCUUUCAAGAAAUAUAUUGUAUAGCCAAGGCAUUUAACAGACAUGUGUUUUACCAGAAAAUAUCCAAGAUAAUUAGAACUUCCAUAAACUAAUAUUUGAUUUGGAUUUUUAGGGAAGAUUUCUUUGGCUUUUCUUUUUUUAUUUUCUAAGAAAGUAUAAAAAGAGCUUGACCUGUGCUCUAAAUUUAGGUAUAACUGAGUUCUUUUUUUCUGAAAGAAAUUUUCUUUCCUCCUUAAAAACCUUUUGAUUUAAGGUUCUAGAUUUGUCACUAGNUUAGAAUCAAAACCAAAAUACACUAAUACAGUAGGCAGAGUUCUAAGAUAGUCCUCAAGCUAUCUGGCCUUGGUAUAAAUAUGCACGUUCACCAAGUUGUUCUGUGUAACCCUAAUAUAGCUACUGCUGUGAAGGGAUUUUUAUAGGUGAAUUAAGAUCCUAAAUAGUUAAAGUAGGAAAUUUUGGGGGGUGUGGACCUGACCUAAAUUAUAAGAGCCAUUUAAAUUUGUGUCUAUAGAUCACAGACAGAACCUGAAAGAAAUGUGAGAGGGAUUCAUCUCAAGAGAGGUUCUCCUUUGGUGGUGUGAGAUAGACUGGAGUCAUGGAGCAAAGAAUUGAGAGUGACCUCUUGUGGCUGAAAGUGUCCACAGUUGAUGACCAGCAAGAAAAACUCAAUUCUAUAACCCAAGAAACUGAAUUGUACCAGAGUCAAGUGAGCUUGGACGUGUCUUUAUGUAAUACAGAUUUGUUUCAGAGGAAGGGAAGUUUUUAGUUUUUCUUAAAGUAUGUAGUUUUACAUAUACCAGACAUUUGUCCCCAGUUAUUACAGCAAUAGAGUUAUGUGUACAGUAUAUAUACUCUUUUUUUUAAAAAAAAAACAUUUUUCGUUGUAGAUGGACACAAUAUCUUUAUGGUCAUGAAGUCCAGACAUCUUUGAUUUUGUCUUUCUGACACCCUAAGCCAUGUGUAGAGUUUUGACCUACCCACUAGUAAGAUAAUAAACAGGUACUGUUUUAAGUCUUUAAGUUUAUUGUUAUGCAGCAAUAGAAAACCAGUAUAAGGUAAGUAUAUUCCUUUAAUGUUUGUUUAAAGAAUUGACCUGAAAAAUGAAAGCUGUCAUAUGAUCAAAUAUGAAGAAAUAAUAUUCAACAUAUGGGGAUUAGUGUAUCCUAUUAUAGUGCUGUUUUGCUGGCCAGUGUCCAUGCUCCCCUCUCCUGGCAACAUUCCCUAAUGGGUUGACCUCAUGCCUAAUUCUAAAUGUGAGACAGUUAGCUCAAGCUAUUUAGAAUGUACCAGGCUAAGAUAGGGCAUGUGGCCAAAGCUGAUUUAAUCAGAAUAAAUCUCAGAAGAAUUUUGGUAGGAAUAUUAAGAUAUAUACUCUUUCUUCUCUGAGCCUGGUGAUGUGAAUAUGAGAUUUGUAGAUAUUGAAUAUUUGAAGGAGAGCCUAGAGUUUCUCAGAGGCUGCCAGGAUAUGCCUAAAAGUCAAGCAACCCAGAGGAAGCAAAGUUAGGAAAGGGAUUGUAGUUUUGUUUUAAAAUGUGUGUGAAUGUAAAUGCAAUCACUGACUAUUCAUUUCCAUGAGCCAAUAAAUUUUGUCUUAAAAAUAUUUUGUUUAAGCCUCUUUGCACUGAGUUUAUGUUUCUUUCUAUUGAAGAAAGUCCAAACCAAUAGAUCACUCAUUAUCUAUUUGACUUUUGUAGUAUCUUUCUUCUUCUUUCAACUCUCAUCAUUUAGACUUGUUUUCUUUUGUCUUUGUCUAGUUUUUAAAGUGUAAAGAUAGUAAUUGGUGUAAGUAUUAUAAUGAAGUAUUAUAAUAUCUAUUGUUCUUAUAUUAAAUCUUUUUAUACAUCCAGAAAAAGAGGCAUCAUGUCUUUCACAAUAUUCCUAUAUUUGAAGAAUAUUAAUUGCUGUUGGUUUUGUCUAAAUUUGUUUCCAGAAAUUCUGUCAACAGAGUGAAACUCCAUUUUGUUAAAUGUUUGGUUUCAAGCUAAUGAAAAUAUAAACUAUAUAACUCUCAUUAAUUGACAUUAUAAUUGCCUAUAACUCUGUUGAAAGAAACAUGUUGAAUUUAGUUGUGUGUGAAAAACAGUAAUUAAUAUUUGUCCUGUAUAAAGAUGAAAACAAUUGGUUUGUAUUAUUAAAAUUAAUAUUCAGUACCUGCUUAUAAUUAUAAUUUUACUAGCAGGAGUGAACAGACUCCAUGAUAUAAUGACUUUUUAAUAAAUAAAUAAAACACCUUUGAAAUAUGUGUAUUUCAAUUAUGUGUUUAUUGAAAAUUUUAUUGUGUGUGUGUGUAUGUGUGUGUUUUACUUGCUUUUUAUCUUUAAGGCCUUUUCUUUUACUUGAAGAUAUUAGUUUCCCCAGAAGGCAGUCUUUUUUUAAAUAUUUUUUUUUGUAGUUGGACAUAAUACCCUAUUCAUUUAUUUUUAGGUGGUGCCUAGGAUCAAACCCAAGGCCUCUCACAUGCUAAGUGAGUGCUCUACCACUGAGCCACAACCCCAGCCCCCAGAAUGGAGUUUUGACAACAGACCUCCCUGGUCUUUUUCAGCUUGUGCCACCUGAGUAAACCCUUCUAUGAGGGUAUUUUAAAUAAUUAGUAUUUUAGCAGCUUAAAGCUGACUUGAAUCCAAUUCACAGAAAAAAUACUUCCAUUUAUAUAAAAACUUAAAAGUAAUUUUUGGGUGAAUAAAAUUUACAUGUGAUGUUUUAGGAUUUGUUGUUGUUGUUGAUGAGUCUUCUUAAGAAAAUACCAUAGAGUUUGUGGCAUACAAGGUACAUAUUUUCAAUAUAUGACUUUCAAAAUGAAGUUUGGCUAUUUAUACAAAAGGAAGUGGAAUACAUGUUGAAUAAGGAGGAUUGAUUAUUAAUGUAGGAAAUAGAAAGAGCCAAAUAAUUUAGUUUAAUUGUAAGAGUGGAUUUAUAGAGGAAGCUUUAACUCAAAUAUGGAAACUGGUGUGAAUUGGAGUGGCACUACUGAAGAGAAAAGAUGCAAAAGAUUCUGGAUGUAAUGGACAUGACAAGAUGUGAAAAGGGUGGGCAGAGCAUCUGAAAGAGUGGCACCUAAUGUUGUCUUUCAUCAGGGAAAUUGAAAAAUGUGGGAAAAAACAAAAUAAGAGAAAAAUACGUGAGAUAUUUGCUGUGGCCAAAGGACAAGGGAUCAUUGGAACAGAUCAAAUAUAGAUAUGAAUAUCACAUGAAUUUUCUAGGACUGCCAUAAUAAUAUGCCAAAGACUGAGUGGCUUAAACAAUGAGAAUAUAUUUCAUCACACUUUAGGCAGAAAGAAAUCCAAAAUCAAGGAAUCAGCAGUGUUGAUUUCUUCUGAGGGCCUCCCUCUUUGUCUUGGAAGUGGCUCUUUUCUCCCUGUGUCUUCCUGUGGUCUUCCUUCUCUGUGUGUCUGUGUUCUGAUCUUUUCUGGUAAGGACCCCAGUCAUUUGGAUUAGUGCUCUCUAGGGGCUUCCUUUUACUUUGAUCACUUUUUUUAGAUGUCUUAUUUCUUUAUAUGGUUACCUUAUGAGGUAUGAGGAGUUAGGUCUUCAACAUACAAAUUUGGAGAGGAUACAACUCACUCCAUAACAUACAUGUUUCCUUCAAGUUUGCCACAAAGCUAGUCUAAUAUGGUGGCUGUGGGAACAGAUAAUAGACUAGAUAAUAAAAAGAAUCAUUAAGAUGGGUUUUUGGGAAUGCAAGAUAGAUGCACUUAUAUUUUUUGAACAUUUAUGAUAGAAAAAGAAGACAUUAGGAAAACACCUUGUUUCACAUAGGAAGAUGUAUUUGAACCUGUUAAUUCUGAGACACUGUCAGGAUGUGAAAGUGUUCUAUGAGGAGAUGGUAAUGGAGACCUGUAGAAAUGAAUCUAGGUCAGGUCUAUACCCAAGCCUCCUGAGGAAUAUUAAUAACUUUUUUUUUCUCUCAGUCUCACCGUGAACUUUGGGGAAUGGACUGGGAUUAUUUUACACCAGCCACUACCCUAUAAGAGUUGAGUAGUACAGAGAGAAGUACCAAGUGGGGCUUCAGAGAGCAAUGAAGAUGGCAAGGCUGAGCCUCUUUUCUUUGGUGGAACAUUUACUGGCACUAUUUGUUCUCCUGGGGACUUGGGAACAUAGAAAGACCAUUCGUUUUUUUUAAGGAAAUAUGCUGUAUUGUUUUCUAUUUUGUUUAUCUGUCUCUAUAGGUUUUCAUAUUGUUUGCUCCUUAGACAAUUGUAUAUUAACUUUGCCUUUUGAUGUAUUCUAAUAAACAUCUCAUAAUCCUAUGUGACAAGACAAAUAAGCUUGAAAAUAGGCCAUAAUGGGAAUAGUUCAUUCAACAAACACUGAGCAUCAACAUAGUACCUGUUGCAAGAAACCAUACCCUCUAGUAGGUGAAAUUAUAAGAACAUAGGUGCUGUCAAUGGAAAUGUAAGCAAAAGAACAAAAGGGAAAAGUCAGCCCUCUGGUAGGACCUCAGUAGAAAGAGGUAUAAAAUGUCUCAGAAGAACUAUUUAUGAGAACAGGAAGAUACCUAUGAUUGUGAAUUAUCAUCUAAACUAAGAGAGUAGACAUCAUGAAAUGCUGGCCAAAGAAUGAAUAAGAGGAUUUGUCAAGAAGGAGGCCAUUGAUGUCUCAGAGCAAUACUUUCUUGUAUGGUAGGAGUGGUAGAGAAGGUGGGAGUCAUAUUCAAUAUAUUUUGAGAUAUAUAGGUGCUGUAAUUGGGAAGAAGAUGCUCAAUUUUAUCCUUUACAAAAUUCAUAACCAUUUCUAGUUUCUUCUACAGUGUAACAUACUCAUCUGUCAUCUAUAGCUUACCAAACAUUUUGAAUUAAUGUUUAGGUUUUAAUAAGCUAUAUAGCUCAUAUUUUAAAUAAAAUUGAAUUAUUCUCAAUUGUGAGUAAUCCAAAAGCUGCACUUGUGCUUUUUGUUGGUUACCUCAAUAUUCAAUGCUUGAGUAAACAGAGAGAACAUAUAAAUCCUUAUAUUUUCAAUCUAUGUCUAAUUUUUGGCUCCAAGAUUUGUUCGAAUCUGUUCUCAGAACCUUGGGGCCAAACACUUAGUUUAUGUUUAUUUCCUUGAACAAGUAGUGGUAUAAAUUUGUGUAGAAUCAGUUCAGAUACAAAGUGCCAAAGGCAGAUAGAAUAUUACUACUCAGAGGUGAUCUGGAGCCAAGGAAUGCAUGGAGAGGAGACCUAUGUGCUGAGACUUGUCCACUGUGGACAUGAUUUUCUUCUGCUGAGGAUGAUGCCAGAAGGCCGGUUACAUGGGCCUUUUCUUUAAUGAAAACAGAUUAGCUCUUCCUGGAGAUUAUUUUUAGAAAUUAAUACCUGAUUCUGUUUUACAGUAAAGUACUUCAAUGAAAUUAUUUAUUUAUUUUAAUUUUGACUUUAUAUUUUAGUCAGACAUUCGGCAACUAUUUGUGGAAUUUAGUAGGCAUUGUUCUAUGUACUUGGUGAAACUCUGCUAAAGUGGAGGCUUACAUUCUAGCUGGGGAGACAAAUGAUAGCCAAUAAUAUAAUGUUAACAUAGUUUAGCUAUAGUAAUUAACAUAUAAGUACUUACUUUAAUAUAUAGUAUAACAAAUAAGAAAACAAUGUAUCUAGUGUAGGUAUUUAAUGCAUUACCUUUAUAAAUUUUGAAAAUGCUGAAUUCUGAAAUACAUCUGCCUCAAGAAUUUCGGCUUUAUGGAAUUGAGGGAUUGUGAAUUUGAACAUUUGUUUUUCCAAUCAGGAUACUGAGUAUUCUUAUAUCAAAGAAAACAUUGGCAUUUGGUUUUUUGGGAUUGGUUAACUUCACUUAGUAUUAUCUUCUCUAACUCCAUUCAUUUAGUGGGAUAAGGAGAGGGAGCAUGGGUGGAAUAGAUGAACUCUAGAUUGGGCAGAGGGGUUGGAGGGGGAGGGAGGGGACAUGGGGUAAUUAAUGAUGGUGGAAUGUAAUGAUCAUUAUUAUCCAAAGUACAGGUAUGAAGACAUGAAUUGGUGUGAAUAUACUAUGUAUACAACCAGAGAUAUGAAAAAUUGUGCUCUCUCUAUAUAAUGAGAAUUGUAAUGUAUUCUGCUGUCAUAUAUAAAUAAAAAAGAAAAUAAUUUAACAGCAAAAACAACAACAAAAAUGUAGUCUGUAUUCUACUAGAAAGUAAUAAGUAUAAUCACCUUUCUUUGGUCACAAUUGGGUACACUUUUUAUUUUUCAGAUGUAAAACUAUUUUGGAAGAGUAUGUCAGCAAGUAAAAUCUAUGGUAUAAAGUUAUAGCAAAUGGUUUUAUAACCAUGAAUAAUUAAAAUUUUAUGAUGCUCUUCAACAUUUAUAUUUAUUACCUACAUUCAACUGAUUUUCAAAUUCAGAAACUUUCUCCCAGAUAAAAUAGCUCACAUUCAUUAGCACGAUUUUGUUAAUCACCAAGUCAUUUACUCACCAUACUGGUUAACCUGAACUGUGUUCCAUCUAAUCUUUGAACAUUCAUUCCUACUGGAAGGCUCAGGGCUCUUUUGAGGGCAGAAUUUUACCCCUUCACCCAAAAAGCAAUGGAACAGGUAAAGUGCCUUUGUUUUUUCCUGGGAUCCUGAUAAAGCAGAGCCUUACCUAUUCUGACCCAAGAUGAAAUGGUUGCAACAAGGGAAGAAAAAUUAAAUAAUACUAUAUACUAUAGUUUAUGUGAGUCCUCUCUCUCUCUCUCUUUCUCCAUAAUUGAUGUACACUUGCUAUUUUGAAAUAUUUCUAUUAGGGAAAAGAACAAACAGAAUUCUCAGUGUCCUGAUUGGAAAAACAAAUGUACAAAUUAACAAUCCCUCAAUUCCAUAAAGCCGACAUUCUUGAGACAGAUGUAUUUCAGAAUUCAGCAUUUUCAAAAUUUAUGAAGGUAAUGCAUCAAAUACCUCCACUAGAUAUUUGUUUUGCUGUCCUCUUCAUUUAAAAUUUCCAACCCCAAUAAUUGUCCUUUAAGAUUAUUAUUGGUAUUAAUUAACUUUAUUUACUUAUGGUUUAUGAUUCUAAAGAUGCAUAUUUUAGCAAACAUGAUUAGUAUUUUUUACUAAUCCAGUAAUUUUUAAACCCUAAAUAAAUACUGAAAGACAACUCAGCAUUGCUAGAUUGUACAAAGCAUUAGCAUUUUCAUAUAUAGAGUGUGUGUAUGUACAUGUAUAUGUAAUUAUAUAUAUACAUAUAUAUUGAUGUACAUAUAUACAUCAAUAUAUAUGUCAACUUACUUAUAAAUAUCCAAGAAGACAGCUAUUUUUUGUGUACAAAUAAGUUGAGUGGGUGAAGUAGGAGAAAUUAAUUUAAUAGUUAUUUACUUCAUUUAUUAAAGAAUGUAUGUUGUUUUGGUAUAUAAUAAAAAUAUUUUCCCCAGACUUAAUGACAUUAAUAAGAAGGUAGGCACACUUCUUUUUUUUACUCUUUAUAGAGUUUUUGCUGUGAAAGUAAAAAACAAAACAAAACAAAAGAAAACACUAAUCAUAUAUGCGAACAACCUUUGGGAGCACUAGUAUACUUUUGCAUUAGAAGACAAAAAGGAUAGGUACUUAGUUUUUGGACCCCUGGCUUGGAUAUCAUACUAGGUAAUUCUAAACACUAAAUAUAUUUGCUAAUGAACUUUUAGCCUUUAAAUUGAGAUUUGGCUCUGAUUUUCGGUGAAGUUGCCAGGUGUUGCCUUAUCAUAAAUGUUGGUAUUUAGAAAAAGUUUUAAAAAAUUUAUCUCCUCCACAAAGUUUUCUAUUUUCUUUAAAGCAACUCAACUAAAUAAUGAGACCUAUCAAAUUGUUUCAUUUUAAUUCAGGGACAGAAGGGAAUGCUGCUCUGGAGGACUCCAGCAUAUACCAAGUAUUUUCUCAUUCUUUGUCAAGUGUACAGUUCAUUGUUCGGUCACCUGUGUCUGUCAGUUUGCACAUGUAAGGCAGUUCUCAGCAUCCACCAUUCUUCUCUAAACUUACACAGAGGCUUAAAACAUUGUCUGGCUCAUUAUUUGCCAAAGAAGGUUAAGCCCUUUACUGUCAGACCAGAACCUUUCGAUAAUUAGAGACCUUGCUUUGUCGCUGAAUGUGUCAUGUCUGAGAGCCUUCCCGCUGUGAUCAGGGGCAAUGCUGCUCACUCGCAUAAGUGUCCAGGGACCACAGAUCUCUAGUAAAGGUUGUCUUCCAUUUUCUGUGUGACAAACUUCUGACUUGCUAAAAUCCCAACUCCCCUUUAACAGGCUCUCACUAGGAUUGGAUGAGAUAUUCACCAGUUCACUAAGAUUUUACUUAAUACUAACCUGUUCAUCCUUUUCACUGUUACUGAAGUAGACUUCACAAUAGAAUAACAGAAGUAAACUAUCAAAUGUGAAAAAAGUAGUAAAUUUUUCCACUCUUUAAAGUAGUCGAUAUUUGUGUUGGUAUAUCUGUUACAUAGUAUUUAACUUCAUCUUUGAUGAAAGAAAAUCUCAGUUCUUUUUGGUUAGGCAAAAAGACUUCUUUGUCCUUUUGUUUUAAUGAGUAGGAAUUAAUUAGAUCAAGAUUGGUUUAAAUUAUCAAAACUAUAUCUUAUAAACACAUGCUUCUUAUUGAUUUUCUUCUUUGCAUAAGAAAUUAUGUUAUUUACAGUUCCUUUUUCAGUUCAUAGUGUUUUACCAACCUGCAGGGAUAGAAAGACUAAACUGUCAGUUUUCGUGUCCUUGAAUUUUCAAAGACUGCCUUAGGGAGUGAGUACAUCAUAAUAGUGCUCCCCUAUCUGGUUUGAUCAUUUCCUCCUUCAUUUCUAGCUCUCCUUGGUUAGAGCAAGGAGCUGGCAUGAAUGUGGCAAGUGUCUUAUUGUUUAAUUAUUAUGGGUUAGUUAGUUUCUUGAAGAAAAUUUUCUCUCAUGGGUGUAGACCAUAAUGAGAUAUUUGGCUAGUUGAUUCCAGGUUAAUUUUGACAUAAGGCUAGCUCUACAAGUAUUGUUCAUUUUUCUCCUCGAGAGAAAGAAAGUACAUUAUGAAAGUUAAAACUUUGUUUUAAAAGUUAAAAAACUUUUGCUUUAAAAGUUAUAAACUGUAGCCAAAUAUGGUGGCACACACUUGUAAUCAUAGUGGCUUGGGAGGCUGAGGCAGGAAGAUCCAGCCUCAGCAAUUUAACAAGGCCCUAAGCAACUUGGAGAGACCCUUUCUCAAAACAAAAAAUAAAAAAAAGGCUGAGAAUGUGGCUCAGUGGUUAAGUGUCCCUGGUGUCGAUUCUUGGCGCGCGCGCGCACACACACACACACACACAAUAUAUAUAUAUAAAAUAUAUAGAAACAUAGAUAUAUAUAAAUAUAUAAAAAUUAUAUAUAUAAUUAUAUAUGUAUAUAUAUACACACACACAUAUACACACACAUACACUCUUAUUUUGAGGGAAAUAUACUAUAUAAAGUUUUUCAUGUUUCAUGACUAUAACUAAUAAUUAUAUUUUAUUAUAUUAUUAUUAUUAUUUUAUUAUAUUAUAUUAUGUUGAUAUUUUAUUAUAAUUAUUUCAUAUAUAUAGGUUGACAUUUUAAAUUUUGGAAUUUAUUUUGUUUUUGGUAAUCUGUCUUCUUAUAUACUAAUUAAGUGAAGACAGAAAAAACAGAAGAAGUUUCAAAAUUAAAGAGUUAUAUUAAAUAUCAGAAUCUUUAAAGGCCAGAGGAAACACAUUUUCUUUUUCACUGAGGAAGUUUUUAUAAAAUAUUUUUUUAGUUGUUGGUGGAUCUUUCUUUAUUUAUAAGUGGUGCUUAGAAUCAAACCCAGUGCCUCAUACAGGCUAGGCAUGUGCUAUACCACUGAGCCACAACCCCAGCCCACUGAGGAAGAUUUUUAUCAUGAAUUUUUCUUUGUAAAAGGAAAUAAAAAGUCAGCAAGCUGUGGAAAAUUGUUCAUAGAAAGUUCUAGAAUAAUAAAAAAAUACUUAUUAUUUAACUCAAGAAUUUUGAAAUUUGUGUUGAUACUUCUUUAAAGAUUGUUAUAUUAAAGAUUCAAUUGAGCAGGAGGCAGUGGAACAUGCCUGUAAUCCCAGCAAUUCAAAAGGCCAAGGCAGAAGAAUUUCAAGUUCAAGGCCAGCCUCAACAAUUUAGUCAGACUCUGCCUCAAAAUAAAAAAGAACUGGAGAUGUAGCUCAGUGGUAAAGCUCCCCUGGGAUCAAUCCCUAGUACCAAAAAGAAAAAAAAAAAUAUAUAUAUAUAUACAUAUAUAUAUAUAUAUAUAUAUAUAUAUAUAUAUAUAUAUAUAUAUAUAUAUAGUCUUAGUUGAUUCCUUUAUUCUAUUUAUUUAUUUAUGGGGCUGGAGAUUGAAUCUGGGCAUGCUAGACAAGUGUUCUCCUACUGCAUGAUACCCCUCAGACCUUAUUAUUUUGAAACAAUCUUGCUCAGCUGCUCAGCCUGGCCUCAAAUUUGUGAUUUCUUCUGCCUCAGUCUUCCAGGUAGCUGGGAUUACAGGUGUGCACCACCAUGCUUGGUUUCCUUUUUUAAAAAAUAUAAAAUCUAUUAUAAACUAUUAGAUCAUUGAAGCUGUUUUUACACAUUUGUACUUUAAGGGAAAAGGAAAAAUAAUUAGGUUUCCAUUCUGGGCUCUGAGUUUCUUUAUUUCUUUUAAUUUUUCUAUAUUUCUUUUAAUUUUAUUACUAUUAAGACUCAAUGUAUGUGUAUUUGGCAUAUAAAUACAUACAUAUCUUUUACGGGGGGAAAGAUAGGGAUGAUAGAGGCUCUUUUUGAGUCUCCUCCCACCCCAAUUUUAAAGAUAUAUAUAUAUAUAUAUAUAUAUAUAUAUAUAUAUAUAUAUAUAUAUAUAUAUAUUCAUUGUAGAAAUUUUAGAAAAGAAGGGAAAAAUUUAUAUAUCCAAUAUUCCCAAAACAGUCUGAGUUAUGCAUAUACAUAUAAUUAUUUACUUAUAUGGUUUAUCUAUUAAUCUUUUAAUAUUAUUCAUUAAUUUUAUGAUGACAAAGCCCAUUCUGUGAUUUAUAUCCACUUCUAUGUUCUUUUUGACUGUUGGUGAUUAAUGCUUAAAAUUUCAUUGGUUUUGAAAUUUUCUUUUGAUUUACUUUAAAUUACAUGAGUAAUAAUAUGACUGUAGUUUUGGAAAAGAUUCAGACAGUACAUGAGUAUGUUCCUUUCUUUCCAGUUCUCCAUACCAGUCUCCUAUUAGAUUUAAACAUAAUCAUUAGUUUGGUGUGUCCUUUCCCAACAUUUUUCUUUUUAUUAAUAGAUAUAUUAAGCUAUCAAGUAGGACUUGACUUGUUGCUCUGGACUAGGGGACAAGACGUAGACUUUUAGGGACAGCAAAUAACUUAAAUUCUGAAGAGAGCAUAGUAUGUCAAUCCCUUUAGGACUCAAUUUCAAUCUACAAUUCCUGACCAUAUACCAGCCCCUUUUUCUAACUAUGGGUUCCCCCAGUGUAUGCAAGAGAACAAGAGACCUCUAGAGAGGGGUGGGAAAAAGAAAAGAAAGUUCAGGACACAGAGAGAGGGAAGGUAGAGAAAGAAUAGUUAAUAUUGGUUUCCAAGAGAAUUGCUUAUAGAAAAUGGGCAUUCCUGCAAGAACAGGUUGGAGUCUGCUUAUGUAGCUGAAUAGCUGACCUGUUUCCAUGACUAUUUGAGCAUAACUGGUGAGAAACAAUGGGCAGAGACAGGAGGCAGCAGGGGUCAGCCUGUAUUCCUGAGAUUUGGAAUGGCAGGAGUGUGUGAGCUUCUUAUGGUCAGUGGGCAGUAUGGGAAGUAGAUGGGCUUACACCCUCCUGCGAGUAUCUCAACAGAGGGUGGCUUCCUGGGUAAGGAGGGCUCUGGGUUAGACGAAAUGAGGGGAUCCAACUGAUAGAUCCACCCUAUGUCACAAGGCAGAGAAUAGGCCUGUGGAGGGGGAAUUGGAAGAAGGUGGAUUCACCCUAGAUCUUCCAAGGUCAGAAUCUAUCACAUUCUGUGAAUUAUUUUCUAUUCCCACUGAUUUAUUUUUUUUUUUGCUUAGGUUUAGUUAUUUUUCAAAUCUUCUGUACAUAACCAAUGUCACUAGUCCCUACGUGGACGCCUUGCUAUCUACACUCAUGUAUCAACAUUCUAGGCUAGAUCUCAUUCCCAGUAUGGAAAGCUUACACCUGGCCAGUGUACCUUGGGCCCCCAUACAAAUGUUCUUCUCAUUUUGCCUAGCCAGCCUCUCUUAUGUCCUCCCGCUUAGAAGUCCCUCCUUCCCGUGCUCAGGCUUAAACUUGCUGAGCAUAUCCCCUUGCCUUCCUUGUUGACUCAGGCUCUGAUUCCACACAAGGCCACUAAUCUUGCAUAGAUUCCCUUAUGAAUGCACUGCAGCUCAGACAUGUCACUCUGAUUGAGCUUCCACUCUCCAUGCAGAGUGCCUCUCCAUGGGAUGACUUGCUUACUCUGUCUGGACUCCAGCAUUCUGCUCUGAGUCCUUCCUUCACAUACAAGUAUAUCUCCUCAGCCAGCUAGGGCUCUGACACCCUGAGCUGGGUCACCUCCAAUCUUUAUGCUCUUUGCACUAUGAGCUCUGUCUAUACUGGGCUGCCACAAUCCACAGACUCCUUCAUCACUUGCUCAGGUCCUACUUAGGCUGUGUGUUAUCCUAUGUCACCCUAGCUUGGCUUUCAACUUCCUACUUCAGGUUGCCCUCUCACAUGAAUGCUGUCCUCAUUCCACUUAGGCACUUAUGAUAACUUCCAUGUUGGUCAGCCUUCGUACCUUUCUAAAGUUUUGGACCUAGACACCUGCCUUGUCUUGCCUCACAAACAACAGUCUGAAUCAUUCCAAAAAAGAGGAAAGAAAGGAAAAGAUAAGCAAAAGAGUCAUGGUAAUGACUAUUGUGCAUUCCUUUCUCCACACUGAAUGUGGUGCUGAGGAUCAAACCCCACAAUACUCAGGUAUUGUGUCCAUCUACAACUAAAACUAACAAACAAACAAAAACCAACCAAACAAAACACACACACACACACACACACACAAAAAAAAAACAGAUAGAUAGGAUUCCUGCUUUUACAUUCUGCAAGCAGAAACAGACUUGAAAAGGCAUUACACUGCAUGAUUCUAACACAGCACUCUUCUCUACAAACUGUGGUGGGAGAUUGGAGUCACACCUAUCCCAUCCUGGAGUUACUGGAGACCUUUUGGAGGUGGUGAUGAGACAUCUUUAAGGAACAAGAUACUUGAGUCAGGUGCAAGAUAGACCAGGGUAGAUUGAUGAACCCACACUAAAAUUUACAUCUGAUUAUUUCUAAAUUUAAGUAAGUAUUAUAUAAAAAUUUUCAGAUUGCUAAGAAAAUAUAAAUUUAUUUUGUUUAUUUAAAAAGCCUUUAUGAGAAAAAUCUUAAGAUAUACGCAAGCAGAACUUCUCUGCUUUUAUUUGUUAAGACAAAGAAGUUGUUUUAAGAAUGAGUUCAUGUUGCUUUGAGGGUAGGGCAAACGCCCGGAUAGAGUAACUAUCACAAAAAAGAAUUUAAAAUUAAGCCUUAAAUAUUUUAAAAUGGGGAUGCUUACUUAGGGCUGAGAAUAAAAAUGACAAACCUCUGACUAAAAGGAAAGCAAAGUUUUUUUUCUUUUUUGAUGGAAUGUUUUUCAGUUUCUUUUUUUUUGGACUUUUCUUUUUUUAUUAUUUGUUUUAAUUAGUUACACGUGAUAGUAUAAUGAUCUUGCAUAUCAUACAUUUGAAUCAAAUGGGGUAUACUUACUCCUUUUUCUGAGUGUACAGUUUGCUGAAUCACAUUGGUCGUUCAGUCACAUAUAUACAUACAGCAAUAGUAGUGUCUAUUAAAGAAAAAUCCAUCAAGAACGUUAUUCAUGAUGGUUUUUCCUGCAAUAGGCCUUGGAGCUUGCCUCCAUUGCCCAUGCAGAAUGGCCAAGAGGUUUUGCUUCAGGGAGAUAUCAUUCAAUAGGCUUAAGAAUCACGUUUAGGUGAGCCAUCUAGUGGAAGGCUUAACAAUGGGACUAGAGAUUCUGUACCUGGGGGAUUUCUUUGGAUGUAUGGUUAGCUCUUUUAAUUUGCUUUGCUUAUGUAUGUGAAUUGGGGUGUGCAUAUUGUCAUGAAAGAAAACAUGCAUAAAAUGCUUUACUAAAAUCAGCAUUAAUUGAUCUAUGGAACAUAUUUGUAGACUAAGAAAACAAAUACUUUUGAUAGUAAUUUUGCAUGUCUGAAUAUAUCUGGUUUAAAUAAUGCAUUUUGUGUUUUUUUUUUAACAGAACACUUUGAAAUUCAAAUUGAGGGUUAAACAGGCAAUUUUGGUGGUCCCAAUUGGUCCAGAAAGGCCCAGUUCUACCAUUUAUAAACUAUAUGACCUUGGGCUAGUUACUUAACAUUUCUCAGCCUCAGUUUCUUCAUGUGAAUCAUGUAAAUAAUUAUAUCGAAAAAAAUGAUAUCCUUUCCCCAUAACAUCUUAUGUUAUUGGUAAGUUAGUAAACUGAAUUAAUCACAGAUAUAAUCCAAUUUCUUCAUAUAAAUUCCAUUACUGAAUAACAUUAUUUUUAAGGAAAUAAUGCCUAAUGGACUCAGUUCUUGGCAAUAGUAAUUUUUUUCGAGUAAUUUUUAAUGAAGAUAAUUUUAUUUACCUAAAGUGUGAAAAGUAAAACUUUCUUCAAGUCAGCAUGUGGAAAAAAAACAAACACGAAAUUUGCUAGCAUUAAUUCCUUAGUACCUAACAUACGAAGGAGUAAAGAUUAUAUUUUUUUCAUCCCUAACAUAAUGUGGAUCAUGCUGUGAAAAGUAUUUGUGUUGGUUGUUAAUAGAUUUGCCUGAAAAUGAUGCUUCAAUUACUGAUAUUAUGUUUUAACUUCUCCUAUAAACAAUGGCAGUGCUCUCCUCUUGUGCACUGCAAUUACUUAUGCAAUACAAGAUAUGACAACAUGAUAACUGGUUGUGAGAAGCAUGAUUCCAUUAAAAAAACAGUUACUGUAUUUUCAAAGAAAUCAGGGUCAUCACUACAACACUUUUGGAAAAGUAAUUUGCAAUUGCAAUAAAUUAGAGUUCAUUCCUAUUAUUUUCUUUGAGAAACAAUUUUCUUUUUACAAAUAUAGUUGCUUGUCUAGCUAUUGAAAAAUCUUUUGUUUAGGCAAUUUUCUUCUAAAAUAUUCCAGGUUGCAGUGUAUCAUUUCAAUUUUCAUGGCUGUUUUUACUGUGCAUGUUUCUGCUAAAACACUUUAUCAAGUGGAAAUGCUAUUAAACUUUAAGACUAAGUGAAAAUAGGCAUACUCUUAAACAAAAUAAAAUCUCUGAGGAUUUAAUUUUAUUUUUUUUAAGGAAAUGGCUAACUUUUAAAAUUAGUACCUAUAAGAAAACAUACAUUAAAAUGCUUUUUCUCUUGAAUUUAUUUUUUAUUAGAAAGUGUCAGUCCAAAUUAUAACCAACUCAUAAAUCUGAGAAAAAAGGUAAACUAAUUCUGUACUUUAAGAAAGCAUGUCAUCCCAAACUGUAAAGAAAUAUGACAAGCACCCCCAUAAUGCACAAUUUAAGGACUUAUUCCAGUGUAGAAUUUUAAAAACUUUCUCUUUACAGAUAAAAUAGGUUUAGAUAUCGACAGAGAACUAAAGCUACAGAACUGCAGAAUAAAAAAAAAAGUUUUUUUGAUUACAAAGAAUUUUGUGUUUGUGGGGAGAGUAAUUUAAUGCAUGAAGUUAUGAGAUAGACACAAAUAAUCAUAAUUGUUAGUUCUUCAGAAAGCAUUCAGUAAAUAUCUAUUAAUAAGUUCAUAAAUUUCAAUGACAAAAUAUAUUUAUUACUGUGAUUAUACUUAAUGUUUGUUUUGUGAAAACGUAAGUAUUAUACGUUAAAUGCAUCUCUUGUUUUCAAAAUUAAUCACAUCAUUUUUAUUAUCAAAGGACAGAUAAUUCACCCAAGAUAAUAAACUCACAGCUAGCUGCCAUGUGCUGUAAAGUUUCUUUCUGAAAGAUUAAUACUGUGCUACACUGAUUGGGUUUUAUGUGUUAGGAUAUGUAAUUGGGAGUAUUUAUAAGCUUUCUCAGGUUUAAAAUAAAAGCUGUGUUUAUAAUGGUUUUAUUUACAGGUGAAUAACUUGUUAUUGUAUUUUAUUUUUUUGGUUUUGGUGCUGGAGACUGAACCUAGGGCCUCAUACAUGCACAUGCUCUACCUUUGAGUCACCCUUCAACUCCUAGGUAGGUAAUUUCUCCUUUUUCCAGUAUUUUGGAAUAGGGGAAGUUCAGUUGAUAAUUUUCUGUGGUAAAAAAAAAUAAGUUAAUGGUCAAAUUUUAUGCCAUCCCUUGCCUGACCUCCCCAUCACACCACUACUGGAGAUUGAAUCCAGAGGCCCUCUACCACUGAGCUACAUCUCCAGGCCACUUAAAUUUUAUUUUAAGAUAAAGGUCUCAUUAAGUUGCCAAAGCUGACCUGGAACUUGUGAUAUUUCUGCCCCAGUCUCCUAAGUAGCUGGGAUUAUAGGCAUGUAUUUGUUUUUUUUUCUUAAAUUAUUUUUUAGUUAUCGGUGGACACAAUGUCUUUACUUUAUGUGGUGCUGAGGAUAGAACCCAGUACCUCAUGCAUGCUAGGCGAGUGCUCUACCCCUGAGCCACAAGCCCAUCCCCUAGGCAUGUAUUUCUGCUCCCUGCUUUUAUGCCAUUUUUUUAAAAAAAACAUUCUCAAAAGUAGAAAUUUUUUCAGGUUUGUUUUGUUUUGUUUUUGUUUUGGUACUGGGGAUUGAACCCAGGAGCAUUUUACCACUAAGAUACAUCCCCAGAUCCCCUUCUCUUUUUUUAAAGUUGUAGGUGAACACAAUACAUUAUUUAUUUAUUUAAAUAGGUAGGGAGUGGGGAUUGAACUCAGGGGCACUUGACCAUUGAGCCACAUCCCCAGCCCUAUGUUCUAUUUUAUUUAGAGACAGGAUCUCACUGAGUUGCUUAGCACCUAACCAUUGCUGAGGCUGGCUUUGAACUCACCAUCUUCCUGUCUCAGUCUCCUGAGCCACUGGGAUUACAGGCACAAAACAUGGUGCAUGGCUUAUUUAUUUAUUGUUAUGUGGUGCUGAGGAUUGAACCCAGUGCCUCAUACAUGCUAGUCUUGUGCUCUACCACUGAGCUACAAUCCCAGCCCUUUUCAUUUUUAUUUUGAGACAAGUUCUCUCUUAAUGGCCUAGGCUGGCCUCAAACUUGCAAUCCUCCUGCCUCAGCUUCCUGAGUGGCUAUAAAUACAGAUGUGUCUCACUAUGUGAAGCUUUAUUUUUCUUUCUCCCAGUUCUUAUUAAAAAACAAGGAAGGAGGACAAGGAUUAAGAACAAGGAAAUUAUUCUGGUCUGAGACUAUGACUUAUGGAAUUUUCAGAUGACAAGUGAUUGCUCCUUUGUUGGACAUAUAUGACUUUCCAUGAUGCUUUUAAAUAAUGACAGUUAUUUUUUAGUAUAUAUUUUUUUGUUUUGUUUUCAAUAUUUUUUUUCCUUAUGAUUUAAAUUUUAGUACUUUGAAUGAUGAUGAGGUGUAAUUUUGAAUCAUGUUAUUUUAGCUUCUGAGCUUUUUAUUUGGGUUGGCAAGUAGGGGCAAUUUUGGGUGACCUGGGUUUCUAUUAACUGUGACAAUUUCAUGCCAGAUGUUGACUUCUGUGAUUCUGACCCUAUCAUGGACUCAUGACCUCAAUUUCUGAUUAAUUGUGUUCCUGACAGUUGGACACUGUUUGUCUGUCUUGAUUGCUUGGCUACAGCUGUUCAACAGGAAGGGCCCAAAGUUCCUCUCUGACACAUAGAAAAAAAGUAUCUUUAUUUUAACUUGACCAAAAUGAAUUCUCAGAUUGCCCACAUAGAAUUUUUUUUUAGUAUUGACUCUUUUUUUUUGUUUUGAACAAUAAUUUUCAAAGUUAAUGACUAAUUUAUAGGAAAUUUCCAUAUGUGAUUAGUGAAUUGUUUUCCAAAUUAUCACAGAAUAAAGUUUCUAGGUUCUAAAUGUAUGAAAAACACUUUAUAGUUUCUCUUUUCUCUUGAAACCUUCUAGUGCUUAUUAGUCCUAUGGUGAAAAAAAAUGUUAAAAUGUUCACUUUGUUAUUAUUAUGAAGACCAAGAUUUGUGCUGUAAUUGAUCAGCUUUGAAGCCAUUUUUUAUGCCCCAGAAACUUGAGAUUACAGUGUUAUAAUCAUGUUCUUUAGGGGAAACCUGUAACUUCUGCAAUAGUCAUAUUUCAGAUUUGUGGCUCACUAAACUUAUAUUCUUGUCAAGUGUUUUCCCCCUUUUGCUAGAGGGAGUAGCUUGAGUGAAUUAUAAGGAGCUGAAUUAAGUGAGAUAAAUGGAUUGCUUUCCCCCUCCCUCACUUUGAUUGGUGAGUAGUCCUAGUGUCACUUCUCCAAAUAAAAGCCAAGUCAUGAUCCCAUGGUUAGGGUCAGUGGCAGGUGGCAGAGACAUUAGGGGUCCAGCUCUGUUAUCUGAUAAUCUAUUGCUGAGUAAGCUUUGUGUUUAAUGAGCAAUAACUACAGAUAUGGCCAAAUGGGCAUGGCUGAGAAUAGUGGAAUUAUGAUGAGGGUUGAUAAACAAGAAAUUCUAAGGCUUGGAUGACACUUUUAUUAUGUUAUGUUCAUAUGUGUACUCUGUAUGUUGGAACAUUGAAAAUAUCUUCAGUACAUAUAUUUCAUCUAUCAUCUGUCCCUUAGAGUGAAGUUGAUUUCAUAUGAUUUUUUGAAUAACCCCCAAAGUUUCUUAGUAAAUCUAGACUCCUGGGAUAACUUUUAAGAAUAAUUUUAGUUAUUUCAUAAUAAAAUAGCAUCGUUUUGCCAAAUUACUUGAUUUUAGAAUCUUUUGGGGUGGUAGGAACUUAACACUUAUUAAUAACUCACUGAAUCAGAGUGCUAUGAAGCCCAGUUUGAAAAUCGUUAUGUUUCUUAAUAUAACUGGGGCUCAUUUUGCUGUAAAAUAGAGAAGAUAUGUUUUCAAAUGGGCAUAAUUUCUAAAUAUCUGCACAUAUUCAUUUGCUUUUGAUCCUGGGUAGAAAGUCAUUUGUUCAAUAAGUAACAUAGUUCCUAGUCAUUUACAUUAGUCAAAUUACCACAAAUUUGAUGAAUAUAGAAAAAAAUGUUUUUCUGACUCUUGCACACCAUAAUACUCUGACACUGAUUGUGUGUGAUUUCCCCCCAUACACCAAUCAAUUCUCUAGUAGAUACCAACUGGUUGUCCUCUCAUCCAGUUCAAUUCUGAUGUUGUCUACCUGGAAAUGGCAUUAGAUGCCACAGGGUAAGGGCUCAGUUCUAAAAGAAUGAUGCCUCCAACUUGAGAUAUCAAUUGCCAAGUAGUAGGUUGUCACCUACACUUCUUUUAAAAGUAAUUAUUAUUGUAAUUACAAGUCAACUAAUAGCACAAAUUAAUGGGAUAUUUCCAUACGUGUAUGUGUGAUAGUGACUAUAUAUAUAUAUAUAUAUAUAUAUAUAUAGAGAGAGAGAGAGAGAGAGAGAGAGAGAGAAUGAAUUGAUCUACUCCUAACCAUCCCCAACCUUUAUUUCUGAACAACCAGCUUUAAGUAAGGUUCCUACACUCCCUAUUCUGAUUCAGUUAAUUUCCUAGAGUGAUUCACAGGCCUAAGAAAAGCACUUUACUUAGAUUUUACCAUUUAUUAUAAAGAGUAUUACAAAAGGUACAGAUGAAUAGCUAGAUGCAAAGUACAUUUAGAGCAAGGUAUGUGAAAAGGGACGAGGAGCUUCCAUGCCCUAUCCCAGGUGCUCUGCCCUCCACGCACCACCAUGUGUUCUGCUGUCUGGAAGCUCUUCAGACCUUGGCCUUUUGGGUUUUUAUAGAGGCUUCACAACUUAGGCAUAAUUAAUCACAUUAUUGACCAUUGGUGAUUAAGUCAACUUUUAGCCCUUCUCCCAUCACUGGAAAUCAGGAGUAGGAUGAAAGUUUCAAUCCUUAAUCAUAUGGUUAGUUUCCCCUGGCAAACAACCCCUAUCCUGAGGCUACCCAGGAGCCUACCAAGAAUCUCAUUAGAAAAAAUGAUGCUUCUACCACCCAGGAAAUCCCAAGGGAUUUAGGAGCUCUGUGUCAGGAAUGAGGUGCAGAGACCAAAUAUUUCUUAUUAUGUGACAGUGACUUAAAGAAGACAAAGAUAUUAUCUUACAUAGUUUCGGAGGUCAGAAGUUCUACAAUCAAGGUAACAUCAGGGAUGUUUUCCUUCCAGAGGCUUCUGGGGAGAAUUCCUUUUUCAGCUUUCAGAUGCCACCUGCCUUCCAGAGUUCAUGCUACCUUGCCUGCAUGAUCACUUCAAUCUCUGCUUCUGUCAUCAAUGUCUUCUGACACUGAGCUGCUUGCCUCCCUCUUCCAGAGACUCUUGUGAUUAUAUUGAACUCACUCCAGUAAACCAGAAUAAUCCUAACCAUCUUGAAGUCCUUAACUUAAUUACAUUUCUAAAGUCUCUUUUGGCAUGUUUGGUAACAUAGUCACAGGUUUCAGGAAUUAAGACAUGGACGUAUUUGGAAGGUCAAGAAUCUUUCUACCAAAGUCAUAUACUUCCAUGAAGGAGAAAACUACUGAUCUGUAAUCUAAGGUUUCUUAUAGUAAAUCAAAUCCAUCACUAGAAUUCAAUUUUUCUCAAAGAUAUGUUUAAGCAAUACCAGUGGCUAACAAUUACACAGGGGAAUAUCAUCAUAGAACACGUUGGCUAUCUCUUUAUUCUCUGUUUUAGCUAACUAUGUUUAUUUUUGCUGAUACCAUGGAAUAUUCUCUCUAAAUAUAUCAGCAGGAAUCUCUGAAAUAUAAGUAUAUUUAUUUCUAUUGCCCAAAUAGUAGUGUCCUCUUUUUAAAUAAGCAAAUUGUUACAAACCUUAGCAGGAGGAAACUCUACUAGCUAAACAUAAGCUUUCUUGUGCAAAUGAUUGUUGUUGUUGUCAAGCUUGUACAUAUUAAAUAAAUAAUUGAUCUCUUUGCAUAUACUUCUGUGAUGCAGAGAUUUAAGUUGUGGCACAUACUUAGUAGUGGUAUCAUUAGUUUUUUCCUACAAUUGCUUUUAAUUAUUUUCCCGAUUUCUCACCUGUUUUCCACCCCUUUAAAUAUAUUUUAUAUAUCUUUAUGCCUUGCAUAAAAAUCUUUGGACUUAAGUCAUGUAUGUAUUAAUAAGAAAAUACUUCCUGUUAGUGAUACGGUAUACUUUUUUUGAAGAAGCAUAUAGAAAAUUAAUCCCUGCAAGUCUCUUAAUUUGGUUAGAAUGCCAUCCAAAUAAUUUGAUUUGGAGUUUGACUAGGGAAGAUUUAAAAAUCCACUCAAAUUCACUCUGAUUUAUUUUACUCUCAAGAAUGGUGGAAAUAUCAACUGACUUAUUUUGAUAUUGGAUUCUAUUUUAUAUUUUGAAGACAAAGAAGAACUUGUAGAGGCCCACCAAAAUCAAACAUCUCCUACUUGAUUCAGUAUACCUGAAUUCAAUCUACUCACAUGAGAAGAGCAAAGUUUGGAGGAAACUCUGACAGCAUCAGUAGCAGCAACAGGAGGAGCAGAAGGAGUAGGAGGAGAGUUCAUAGAAUAUGAAAACGAUGGUAUAAGGAACAUUUUUCUGAUCAUAACUAGAAAUUCCUUCCUAUUUAUUUUUUGAUAAGUUAAUAUAAAUACUGCAGUCCUUCUACAGAAUGUCUUUCUCCUUUACAAUUUUUUUCCAUGGUGCUAAAUAGUCUAAAAUUGCCCUGAGGAAGGAAGCAUAUUACUUCCUCUGCCCUCCUCCCAGUUUUCUGUUUAAAUCCUGCUGCUGCCAAGUUUGAGUGGAAAAUCAUUCCACUGCCAGUUGUCAACUUACAUAACUCCUGUCCAAGAAAACUAUUUAAGCAACUUUGAAAUCUGCUUAGAUUUUCAGAGCUCUGUGUGUGUGGUGCAACACCAGUGCUCCUGGAAAACACUGGGAGGCACGCCAUCCUCCCUGAUGAAGCCUCACAGGUGACACCAGUUCCUUGUCAUGGACACUAGCAUAACUGAAGCACCAAGAGGAAGUCUUGGGUUUCCUUGUGUGAACUUCCUGCCAUAAAUCUAUGGAGAACUAUUACUACUAUUAUUAGCACAUGUUAAUUGUGCACUAACUCUAUGCUAGGAAUUGGGCUAAGCCCUAAAGUGCAUUUUUAAUUUAAUCUACACAACAGUCCUUUGAUGGAGCUACUAUUACUAACCUUACCUUAUGAAUAAAGAAUCUAUUGACCUAAGAAGUUAAGUCAUUUCCCCAAGAUCACAUAGUUUAUCAAGUCAUGAUUAAAACCUUUGUGUAUUUGACUUUUAAGCCUACAAUGUUAAUGUUUAUGUCGUAUUCCUAGUUUGUGAGUAUACAGGGAGCCAAAAUUUUGUUGUGAGAGCUCACAUUUGAAAUAUAUAAAUUUCUGAUACAAAAGUAAUAUAGAAGACAUCUCUUUAAGUUAAAAACCCUUCAUUUAGUAUUGUUUCACUCUCCCCCAUCAACUAGAGAUUGCCUUUGCAUUCCGAAAAGAAAUAUAACUCUAAAAUUACUUGGAGAUUUAUGUGUCAUCAUUGGGGCAUAGUAUUAGGGGAAAAAAGAAUAACUUUAAAUCAUUUUGAUGGGAAGCAGCAUAACAGGCAGAUGUAAUGAUGCUAGAAAUGAGGAAAUGGAUCUUAUGCUCUGGUUCAACUUUGACUUUUGAGAACUACUCAGCAUUUUAAUAGUUUUCAUCUUUUUCUUUAACUGAAGAUAUACAUAAAUAUUACAUUAUUAUUAAAUGUAGAAAAUUUUAAUUAUCUGUCUAAAGGCCAUUGACCAGCAACUAGAUUGCAGGCUUUAAGAUCUAAGUAACUCAUACUUGCUGCCCAUUCCUUCUCACAAAGGAAGGUGGGAAGCCCAGCUGCCCAUAUUGCCCAUAAGUCUUCAGCCUAUUCUCUGUCAUGCCUGAUUUGGUCCUCUUUUUGAUGUGUGAGCUUAGCUUUAGGUUCUGUUUCCAUAGAAUUCUUGGCAGUCCAUCCAGCCAACUUGGCUGUAUACUUACACUCUUUGCUACACCACUCAUCUUUGCCCACCAGUCGAUUUCUGGAUAUUGCUUUUGACCCCUUUUCAUGGGCUGAAGUGCAGAAAAAAAUUGCAAAUGUAAAUUGGUCCUGCCAGCUCUCAUUGUAGUGAGCUUCCCUUAACCCAAAACUAAGUGCCUGAAAGAAUCAGCGCUAGAUAGGUAAAAAGUCACUUUAAAUAUAAUGUUUUCAAUAUUUAAUAUUCAAAAAUAUCUAUAUUUAAUCAUAAAAUUACAGUUUUUAUACAUAACUGCUUUUUAAGAGUUAGAACCUGCCAGGUGCAGUGGUGCAUGUCUGUAAUCCCAGCAGCUCAGGAAGCUGAGAUAGGAGGAUCUAGAGUUCAAAGCCAGCCUCAGCAAUGGCGAAGUGCUAAGCAACUCAGUGAGACCCUGUCUCUAAAUAAAAUACGAAAUAGGGCUCGGAAUAUGGCUCAGCGGCUGAGUGUCCCUGGAUUCAAUCCCUGGUACAAAAAAAAAAAAAAGAGAGAGAGAGAGAACCUGAUACAUUUGCUCACUUAUUUCCUUCUUCCUUCCUAAUUUUCUUCUUUCUUUCUUGACUUUCUGUCUAGAAAUUUCAGUAAAGUUUGAACUAGGAGGUGUGAAUUAGCAGCUUUGGGGUGUUAUAACACUUCAACAUGUCAUAGUAGUUAGAAAAGCAUUUAUAUUAAAGUUUUUUAAAAUAGAUUAACUGGGAAAAUAUGAGACUAUAUCUUAUAAAGGUUCCUCUAAAAUUGCUUUCAUUAUCAAGGUCCAACCAAAACUAUAAAGAUUUAAGAGAAAAACCCUACCAUGCUUUAUUUUUCUUACUUUUGUAUAUGUAUUAGGCAGGUUCCCCAGAGAAACAGAGCCAAUAGAAUAUAUAUGGAGGUAUAUAUAAAAGAGAUUUAUUAUUCAAGAUUGGCUCACUAGAUUACAUUGGCUGAGAAAUCCUAUGAUCUGCCAUCUGCAAGGUAGAGAACCAGGAAAGCCCAUGAUGUGGUUUCAGUUCAAGUCUGUAGGCCUAUGACUCUGGGGAGCUAGUGGUACACAGGACAGAGAGUGAAGGCCAAAUAAACAGGAGUGUUGAUGUGCAUGGGUAGAAGAUGGAUGUCUUGCUUCAAGAAGAAAGGGAAUUUACACUUACUCUGUCUUUUUGUUUUUUCUGGAGGUCUUCAGUUGAUUGUAUGAUGCCCACCGACACUGGUGAAGGCAAAUCUUUACUCACUCUAACAGAUAACAAUGCAUUAUGGAAGAUGGCCGCUGCGUACGGGGGUUGCUGAAGUGCUGAGCGUGGUGCUCAAAGCAGUGGCUUUAAUAGAGAUUUCGCACAGUCUGUUAGAGCUCCUUUUACCGUUAAUCUGUAGCGGACCACUUUGCCAAGGAGCAGGAAGAACAAAGAAAUCGAAAAAGAGACGCUUGGCUGCUCAGAGCCGCGGGCGCUUUGCUCCCAUCUGCUUCCUCUUUCGCUUCGCUCCGGGCGGAGAAGCUGAAUGUGUAAUCAGCAGUGGAUUGUAAGUACCCGAGGCAAAGAAAGCUCAGUGCGCCCCGCCUUUUUUUUCUUUUUUUCUUUUUUUUUUUCUUCUUUUUUUUGAAUAUUUUUUAUACAGGGAGAGUUUGUGGAUUGGGAUUGUUGGCGGGGCUGUGGUUUCUGUGCCGAAAAUCCACUCCGCGGGAGCCGCCAUUUGCUUUCUGCUUGCUGUCUUGAUGGCUCUGUAUACACUGUCCGGCAGCCGCACCUAGAGGUUGGAGCUGGGCUGCGUGCCGAGCCCUGUCCUCCGAAGGCUGGACUGCAGCCUCGAGCGUCUCGGUGGCCUGUUCGCCGCUGCACCUUCGGGCAGAGCCUGCUCUGGGGUCGUUCUGCACCCCCCUGCCAGGGGACCCGUGCUCCGGAGGAGGGGGACGGAGAGCCGCGGCGGCAGCCGCUUGGGCCCCUGGGGCCUGGCACCGGGCUGAAGAGCUGCGGAGGCCAGGGCGGCUCUGCUACGGUCGCAGACAAGCGCGGCGCUCGUGAGCGCAGCCCAGAGACGGAGGCGACGGCGGCAGGGUUUCAUUUCUAGAAAUCUGGACUGGAAACAGAAGCAGCAGUUUGUAUAAUCCCAAGAACUUGCUUAUACCAGGAAGCUGUAAGGGCAACAUGAAUAUCACUGAGGAGAUGUAACAUGGUGGCAGGCGCAGAGAGAUCAAGUCUCUGACAUCUUCAACUGCGCGGGCAUAGGGAGCCGUAAACUGUCUAAAUGCUGUUUGCUCAGGAUCACUAGGCAAUGCUGAGCUGACGUGGAUCUGGGGUGUACAGGCUGGGCCCCUCAGAACACACACACAGAGCCCGAAUCGGAGGCAAUUAAGCUCCGGUUCGCCUGCUUCGUGUGACUCAGCACUAACGAUCCCGCUGAAAUAAUUGGCCGGCCCUUAGGAACUUACAGAGGUAAAAGCCAACCGAGCCUUCAUAGGCAGUGGCCACAGGACUGAAACGGGGAUUGGGAGAGACAGUCAGGACCCACCCGUUGCAUUGGUCACCCGGCAAAGGGAACAAACGGUCACCAUUUGCAUGGGAUAUCACCAUGGCAGAGAAAUGGCGUCACGGGCGGAGGAGAUAACUGCAUUGAAACCAGCGCGACAGGUGUGUAAUCCCCUAGCCAUCUCUCUCCACACAGCGGGGAAACCUUAAGGGCCACUCCCAGCUCUCCUGUGAACGCAAUAACCAGACCGAGGGAAUCAGGAGUGGCGCGGGACUCGCGGCGCGGAACUCCCGGCUACCGCUCCCACCAGUGCUGACAACUGAGGUCUCUUGCACCAGCUACCGGGGGCGUGGCUACAGGAGGGCAAGCAAAUUCGCUGGGGGAUCUCAGCCCCAAGCUCUACAAACUUAGGGUCUGAGGGAGGCAAACAGGGAGAGUGAGCCCAGGUGUUCAUGAAAACAGGGCUCCCAGGAGCAGCAGACCUGGCGUGUAGCCAGUAUUGUGGUGAGCGCCACAGGUGAGCACGGCCUGGCUUGAGGAAACACAAGACAAGGCCCUAGACACUCAGGAUUGGAGAUCCGCCCAGUCUAGGAGAAAGAGCUGCUGCACAGUGAAUGGUUCCCACCUACUGAGAGGAGAAGCUUGGCCCAGUGGGCACAGCUCCACCUACUGGAAGAGAAGUUAAUAGAACUCUAGAAUUGCAUUUAUUAUUAUUAUUAUUAUCAUUUUUUCUUUUUCUUUUUUUUCUUCUNCAUGCAUUUUAUCUGAUCAUAAUGGAAUGAAACUGGAAAUCAAUGAUAAAAGAAGGAAGGAAAAAUCCUACAUCACAUGGAAAAUGAACAAUAUGUUACUGAAUGAUCAAUGGGUUACAGAAGACAUAAAGGAAGAAAUCAAAAAAUUCUUAGAGAUAAAUGAAAAUACAGACACAACAUAUCGGAAUCUAUGGGACACAAUGAAAGCAGUUUUAAGAGGGAAAUUCAUCGCUUGGAGGUCAUUCCUCAAAAAAAGGAAAAACCAACAAAUAAAUGAGCUCACACUUCAUCUCAAAGCCCUAGAAAAGGAAGAGCAAAACAACAGCAAAUGUAGCAGAAGGCAAGAAAUAAUUAAAAUCAGAGCGGAAAUCAAUGAAAUUGAAACAAAAGAAACUAUUGAAAAAAUUAACAAAACUAAAAGUUGGUUCUUUGAAAAAAUAAAUAAGAUCGACAGACCCUUAGCCAUGCUAACGAAGAGAAGAAGAGAGAGAACUCAAAUCACUAACAUACGGGAUGAAAAAGGCAAUAUCACAACAGACACUACAGAAAUACAGAAGACAAUUAGAAAUUAUUUUGAAAACCUAUAUUCCAAUAAAAUAGAAGAUAGUGAAGACAUCGAUAAAUUCCUUAAGUCAUAUGAUUUGCCCAGACUGAGUCAGGAGGAUACUCACAACUUAAACAGACCAAUAACAAUAGAUGAAAUAGAAGAAGCAAUCAAAAGACUUCCAACCAAGAAAAGCCCAGGACCGGAUGGGUAUACAGCGGAGUUUUACAAAACCUUUAAGGAAGAAUUAAUACCAAUACUUUUCAAGUUAUUUCAGGAAAUAGAAAAAGAAGGAGCUCUGCCAAAUUCAUUCUAUGAGGCCAACAUCACCCUGAUUCCGAAACCAGACAAAGACACCUCAAAGAAAGAAAACUACAGACCAAUAUCUCUGAUGAACCUAGAUGCAAAAAUCCUCAAUAAAAUUCUGGCGAAUCGGAUACAAAGGCACAUCAAAAAAAUUGUGCACCAUGAUCAAGUAGGAUUCAUCCCUGGGAUGCAAGGAUGGUUCAAUAUACGGAAAUCAAUAAAUGUUAUUCACCACAUCAAUAGACUUAAAAAUAAGAACCAUAUGAUCAUCUCAAUAGACGCAGAAAAAGCAUUCGACAAAGUACAGCAUCCCUUUAUGUUCAAAACAUUAGAAAAACUAGGGAUAACAGGAACUUACCUCGACAUUGUAAAAGCUAUCUAUGCUAAGCCUCAGGCUAGCAUCAUUCUCAAUGGAGAAAAAUUGAAGGCAUUCCCCCUAAAAUCUGGAACAAGACAGGGAUGCCCUCUAUCACCACUUCUAUUCAAUAUAGUUCUCGAAACACUGGCCAGAGCAAUUAGACAGACGAAAGAAAUUAAAGGCAUAAAAAUAGGAAAGGAAGAACUUAAAUUAUCACUAUUUGCAGAUGACAUGAUUCUAUACCUAGAAGACCCAAAAGGGUCUACAAAAAAACUACUAGAACUAAUAAAUGAAUUCAGCAAAGUGGCAGGAUAUAAAAUCAACACGCAUAAAUCAAAGGCAUUUCUGUAUAUCAGCGACAAAACUUCUGAAACGGAAAUGAGGAAAAACACUCCAUUCACAAUAUCCUCAAAAAAAAUAAAAUACUUGGGAAUCAACCUAACAAAAGAGGUGAAAGAUUUAUAUAAUGAAAACUACAAAACCCUAAAAAGAGAAGUAGAAGAAGAUCUUAGAAGAUGGAAAAAUAUACCCUGUUCAUGGAUAGGCAGAACUAACAUCAUCAAAAUGGCGAUAUUACCAAAAGUUCUCUAUAGGUUUAAUGCAAUGCCAAUCAAAAUCCCAACGGCAUUUCUUGUAGAAAUGGAUAAAGCAAUCAUGAAAUUCAUAUGGAAAAAUAAAAGACCCAGAAUAGCAAAAGCAAUUCUAAGCAGGAAGUGUGAAUCAGGCGGUAUAGCAAUACCAGACUUCAAACUAUACUACAGAGCAAUAGUAACAAAAACAGCAUGGUACUGGUACCAAAACAGGCGGGUGGACCAAUGGUACAGAAUAGAGGACACAGAGACUAAUCCACAAAGCUACAACUAUCUUAUAUUUGAUAAAGGAGCUAAAAGCAUGCAAUGGAGGGAGGAUAGCAUCUUCAACAAAUGGUGCUGGGAAAACUGGAAAUCCAUAUGCAACAAAAUGAAACUGAAUCCCCUCCUCUCACCAUGCACAAAAGUUAACUCAAAGUGGAUCAAGGAGCUAGAUAUCAAAUCAGAGACUCUGCGUCUGAUAGAAGAAAAAGUUGGUGCCGAUCUACAUAUUGUAGGGUCGGGCUCCAAAUUCCUUAAUAGGACACCCAUAGCACAAAAGUUGAUAACAAAAAUCAACAAAUGGGACUUACUUAAACUGAAAAGUUUUCUCUCAGCAAGAGAAACAAUAAAAGAGGUAAAUAGGGAGCCUACAUCAUGGGAACAAAUUUUUACUCCUCACACUUCAGAUAGAGCCCUAAUAUCCAGAGUAUACAAAGAACUCAAAAAAUUAAACAAUAAGAAAACAAAUAACCCAAUCAACAAAUGGGCCAAAGACCUGAACAGACACUUCUCAGAGGAGGACAUACAAUCAAUCAACAAGUACAUGAAAAAAUGCUCACCAUCUCUAGCAGUCAGAGAAAUGCAAAUCAAAACCACCCUAAGAUACCAUCUCACUCCAGUAAGAUUGGCAGCCAUUAUGAAGUCAAACAACAACAAGUGCUGGAGAGGAUGUGGGGAAAAGGGUACUCUUGUACAUUGCUGGUGGGACUGCAAACUGGUGCGGCCAAUCUGGAAAGCAGUAUGGAGAUUCCUGGGAAAGCUGGGAAUGGAACCACCAUUUGACCCAGCUAUUGCCCUUCUUGGACUUUUCCCUGAAGACCUUAAAAGAGCGUACUACAGGGAUACUGCUACAUCGAUGUUCAUAGCAGCACAAUUCACAAUUGCUAGACUGUGGAACCAACCCAGAUGCCCUUCAAUAGAUGAAUGGAUAAAAAAAAUGUGGCAUUUAUACACAAUGGAGUAUUACUCUGCAUUAAAAAAUGACAAAAUCAUAGAAUUUACAGGGAAAUGGAUGGCAUUAGAGCAGAUUAUGCUAAGUGAAGCUAGCCAAUCCCUAAAAAACAAAUACCAAAUGUCUUCUUUGAUAUAAUGAGAGCAACUAAGAACAGAGCAGGGAGGAAGAGCAGGAAGAAAAGAUUUACAUUAAAUAGAUACAUGAGGUGGGAUGGAAAGGGAGAGAAAAGGGAAAUUGCAUGGUAAUGGAGGGAGACCCUCAUUGUUAUACAAAAUUACAUAUAAGAGGUUGUGAGGGGAAUGGGAAAAUAAACAAGGAGAGAAAUGAAUUACAGUGAAUGGGGUAGAGAGAGAAGAUGGGAGGGGAGGGAGGGGGGAUGGUAGAGGAUAGGAAAGGUAGCAGAAUACAACAGUUACUAAUAGGGCAUUAUGUAAAAAUGUGGAUGUGUAACCGAUGUGAUUCUGCAAUCUGUAUUUGGGGUAAAAUUGGGAGUUCAUAACCAACUUGAAUCUAAUGUAUGAAAUAUGAUAUGUCAAGAGCUUUAUAAUGUUUUGAACAACCAAUAAAAAAAAUUAAAAAAAAACAAAAAAAAAACAACAAUGCAUUAUAUAUUUCAAAGAGCUAGAAGAAAGGAUUUUGAAAAUUUAUUGUAAAGAAAUUGAUAAAUAGCCAGGUGCAGUGGCACACACCUGUAAUUCUAGCGCCUUGGGAGGCUGAGGCAGGAGGAUUGAGAGUUCAAAGCCAGCCUCAGCAAAUAUGAGGCACUAAGCAACUCAGACCCUAUAUCUAAAUAAAAUACAAAAUAGGGCUGGGGAUAUGGCUCAGUGGUUGAGUGCCUUUGAGUUCAAUCCCUGGUACCCCUCAUCCCCCUGAAAAUGAAAAUGAUAAAUAUUUGAGGAGAUAGAUAAUGUUUAUCCUGUAUUAGCAUGUAUCAAACAUUAAAUGAUACCUCACUAAUAUAUAUAUAUAUAUAUAUAUAUAUAUAUACACACACACACACACACACAUAUUUAUGGUUGAUAUUUAUUACACAGGAUUGACAUAUAUAUAUAUAUAUAUAUAUAUAAUGUUUUUGAUGUGUCAAAUUUUAUAAAUUUUUAUCAUUCUCUACCUAUUUUUCACAAAUACAUUCAUUGAAACAAAUAUGUGUUUGUCUAAGUCAUUCAUCCUAAGUGUUUAUUUAGUUUAAAUAAUACAUAAAAACAUCUUCUUUUCUUGAGCUAUUUGAUCUUCGUAUCCCUUGUAUCAGAUUAUUCUCCAAAUUGUUUUAUUCUGAAAACUAGAGCCCUAUUCAGUAAUGGACAAAAUGAAAUAAUAACCUUAUUUUAGAGUCUACUUUCUUAAAUUGUCAGUAGUUUCACAUAGUUUUCAUACCUUAUGUAUUACUUCAAUAGCCAAAUUACUGCCUUGAUGCUAAGGUUCUUCAUUUAUUUUUUCCCAACUUUAAUUAUUAUAACAUUUUCAGAUAAAACCUGAUUUGUUUUACAGUUUUAUAACUUCUUUUCAUUAAGAGAUGUUUUUCAUAAAAUGUAUUGUUUCAAAACAUAUAUUGUUUCUGACACCUUAAGUCAUCCCUGGCUUUAACUAGUAUUAUAUUAAAAUGAUAUAUUCAGGCCAGGUGUGUAGUGCACACCUGUAAUCCUAGUGAUUUGGGAGGUUGAGACAGGAAGAUUGCAAGUUUAAGGCCAGCUUUAGUAAGGAUCUGUCUCAAAGUAAAAAAAUAGAAAGUUCUGUAGCUCAGUGGUAGAACUCCCCUGGAUUCAGUCACCAGUACAAAAAAAAAUUCUCAUUAGAGGGUUAAGAUAAUUUGUUCUUCACUUUGUUUCAAUUUCUUCAAAUUUACUUUGUUUCUGUUUCUUCAAAUAUCAGUAUUCUCUAAGAUGGUGACUAUUUCUACUCUAAUGAAACUAAAACCUAUGUCAAUAGAGAAUCAAUGGAGAAUCUAGUGUUAACUGUGUACAGAGUGAGUUAACUGCAAUAAUUUGACAUAUUUUUCUAAUUAAAAUUCCAUGCAUAGAUUGUUAGGAACACAGAUUCCUAUUUUAUUAAUUACUUGAGACUUUCGUAUAAAAAGUAGAAAUUUUAGGGAAAAGGAUGUCAUUUUGUAAAUAGAAAGAUCCUCUGCUGCUUAUUUCUCAGUGUUUCUGAAACUCCUUAAAGAUGCUUGCAUAUAUGUCUCAGGACCCUUUAUGAGGAAUACAGAUGUUCCUUAACUUGAGGUAGGGUUAUGUCCCUAUAAACCCACUGUAAGUUGAAAAUGCGUUUGAUUCACUUAACCUACUGAGCAUAAUAGCUCAGUAACACAGAGUAUCAAUUGUUUACCCUCAUGAUCAAGUGACUGAUGGAGAUGUGAAUUGCUGCUGCUGUCCAGAAAAUAGCAUCACAGAAAACUCAAAAUUCAAAGCAUUUUUUUUUCUGAAUACAUAUCACCAUUGUAAAGUCAAAGACUCCUAAGUAAAACCAUCAUAAUUUGGGGAUCAUCUUUAAAUGAGAUAAUAUUGGCUUGACACUGUUUUUGUGGGCAAUGUGUAGUUUCCCAGAAUCUUUUUAGAUAAAGAUUGUAUAUAGGAGAUUUUUCUUUACAUGCUUUUAUAGGAGAGUUUUCUAUACAUGCUUAUCAAAGAAAAAAGUUUUAAAGUGGGCAUGGUAGCUUGCAUCUAUUGGCUAGUUAUUUAAGAGACUUAGGCAGGAGAAUCUCUUGACUCAGUGUUUGAGAUGAACCUGGACAACAAAAAGAAAGAAAGAAAGACAGAAAGAAAGAAGGAAAGAAAGAAAGAAAGAAAGAAAGAGAGAGAGAGAGAGAGAGAGAGAGAGAGAGAGAGAGAGAGAGAGGGAGGGAGGGAAGGAGGAAGACAGGGAGGGAGAGAGGAAGAAGUUUCACACAUGUAGUCAUUUUUUAUUUGUUUUUGAAAUGCUGGGUAUCAAACCCAUGCCAACUAAGCACUGUAUUACUGAGCUACAUCUCUAGCUCCAAAAAACUUCUCUAAUGUCCUAAUCUGUUUGUGUUGCUGUAACAUACCACAGUCUAGGCAAUUUAUAAAGUGCAGAAAUCCCUCUCUCUCUCUCUCUCUCUCUCUCUCUCUCUUUAUUUAUUUGUUUGCCCCUCUUUCUGUUCUCCUCUUAUGCAUGGUGCUUAGGAUUAAAGCCAGGAAAGGUGCUACCACUGAAUCACAUUCCAGUCCUUUUUAUUUUUUUAUUUUGAGCUGAGUUACCCAGGCUGGCCUUGAACUUGUAAUUUUCCUGCCGUUGCUGCCUGAGUAGCUUGGAUUACAGAUGUGUGCCAACUAUUUUUUACACUUCUGGUAGCUGGGAAGCCCCAAAUCAAGUUGCUAGUCUUUGGUGACUGGUGAGGGCCUUAUAUCAUGUCUUUAUAUGGUAGAAUGGGUACAAGGUGUUUUAAUCAGCUCUUUCAUCUUUGUAAACAAAAGACCUGACAAAAACAAUUUUAGAGGAGGAAAAGUUUAUUUGGUACUCAUGGUUUCAGAGGUCGCAGACCAUAGAUAGUUGGCAAAAUUGCUCUGGCCUGAGGUGAGGCAGAAUAUCCUGGUGGAAGAGUGUGGUGGAGGAAAGCAGCUCAGUACAUGGUCACCAGAAGCAGACAGAUUCCUCAAUAGGAAUAAAUAUACCCAAACAGCAUGCUCCAGUGACCUUCCUUCUCCAGUUACACCCUACCUGCCUAGGGUUAUCAACCCAGUUAAUCCAUUCAAGUGGAUCGAUGCACUGAUUAGGUUAAAGCUCUCAAACCUAAUCAUUUCACAUUUAAAUUUUCUUGCAUUGUUUCACACAUCAGCUUUGGGGAUACCUCGUAUCAAAUGAUGACAGAAAGGCAAAGAAAAGGAGGUGAGCACUGUGUUCUCAAAGGGGAAAGAGCAGAAGAGCAAAAAGGACCAAAGGCAAUUCCUUUCAGCUCUUUUUAUAAGAGAUGGAGUAAUACAUUCAGGAGGGUACAGCCCCCAUGACAAAAACGCUUCCCAGAAGGCCCCAUCUCUUAGUACCACCACAAUAGGUAUUAGUUUCAGCAUGUAAAUUUUAGGGGACAUCCAGACCAAAGUGGCUAGAAAAACCCAACUUCUGAAAUUCUCAGUGCCUAAUCUUAAUAAGUGUUCAAAUGCUUCAGGGUCCACAAAGUGAAGUGCAAAGAAAUUGUCAGGUACAUCUUUAUUUGCCACAAUUAGAACCUGCAUGCUCUCUUUUUCUUUCGUAAGUGUUCCUACUAGAUAAAAAAGGAAAUUAUGGUCCUUCAUAAGAUUCAAACAUAUUUUAAAGCAAUAUUUCAUUAUAAUUUUUGUGUUUGAAUUUUAAUAUUAAUUGCUAAUGGACAACACCAAAAUUUGUCUUGGAAUGAUAAUUUUCUGAAAGUAAAAAUUAAAGAUAAUAACAACAUGUUGGAGAAUGACUAUGACAAUUAAAUAAAUAUUAAUAGAUUAUAGUGAUUAAUGAUAAAUUUUUGCUAAUGGAACUUAGUUCUAUGUAGCCAUCCUGAUGAGACUGUGAUGGAAUUGUUUGUUUUUGAAAUAAGCUUUUACUGUGAAAAGAAGAGAGAAAUGUAAUGAUGCUCUUAUUUUUGAUCAUAUUUAAGAUGCUAUUGAUUCAAAAUUUCACAAUUGAUUUAUGUACGUCUAAGUAAGAAAAAGCAUUGCCAAUAAACCCUGACACACUAUAGGUUGAAAUACUCAUCCCAAUUUUAAAUUGCUAAGAUGGUGAGAAAUAGAAAGUCUGGUGGUUUAUUUUCAAAAUCUAGCAUUCAGCCUUAACUGGAUUCAUUUGUAAUCCUUUCCUUGCCCACCCUAAUUCUAAAAUUAGCUAAUCGUGUAGAUUGUACCCUGAGCUCUUCCUAGGGUCAAUACUUCCUUAGGGAUAAAUGUUGGUGGGAUACCUGCCCAUUGUGCUUUCUUGCUGGAUUCCCUUUGGGAGCACACCCUUCUGCAGAAGUAAAGUUUUGCCUUGCCUGCCCACUUUUGAGCACGUUUGAAUUCUUGAGAUACCUCUUAUAUCUAACAAAUGUAGUAACAAGCAAUUGUAAAAUUGAUGAAAAAUUAUGAAUUUAAUUUUUAAAAUAUAAACGUUUCUUUGUUUGACCAGCGCAAGGUGAGAGAAUAAAUGUCUAAAGCCCUUAAAAUAAAUAACUUGGAAAAACAAAGCACACUCAGUUUAGGUAUCUAAUUUGAUUUUUAACCUCCCUGUUCAAUAAUUUACAUGUCUCUCUUCUAUUGAGAAUGGAAGUAGAGAUUUCAAUGAGAAAAAAAAAAUGCUGAUGGAAUAAGCUUUUGUCAAGGGACCACACCAUUUUUCUUGUAAGUUUAAUGAAACUGUGUCUUCCAUAGAGUAUGUAAGUUGGAGAAAAAAUAAUGGGAAAAAUGAAAUAAAAAUCUGAAGGUAGUACCCUUGCCUCUCUAUAGAGUUUUAGAAUCUCUACAAUAUCUUCACAUGAACAUUACACACACCCCUGAAAAAUAGCCUAUGAAAUAGAUAGCUUUGGUCAAUUUAAUUAGGAUCUUUGAACUCAGUUUUAACAUCUCCAAAAUGAAUAGAAUAUCUACUUCAUGGGAUUCUUGCAAAGAUUAAAUGAAAUUGUCAUCAUCCAAUUGUUCAUGAGCAGAGGAGACCUUUACUAGGAAUUUUUGGGUUCUUGACUCAUUGCAGAAAAGAAUUUAAGGACAUGUUGGGUCAGAGUAGCAGAGCAAGGAAUUUAUUGUAAUGGGAAAGUACAUAGUCAAAAAUGAAAGUGCAGGCAACCCCAGAGAGAGUCAUGCAUAGUUUCAGCUUGGGGUUCCAAUACUUACAGCAUAGCUCCGGUGCUGGACUAGAUGUGGAGUCAGGAAAGGCUUAUGGCAUUUCAUGCCAGUUUUCUUUGCACUGUGUGUUGCCCUUGUGUGUUGUAAUUGUGCUAUUUGCUGCACCGCAUACCUCAUUAAUGUCUUAAAUCUCCACGGGGGGAUGUGUGCCUUACUAUUAAGAUGAGGUUAACGUCACUUCUUGGUCACUAAAGCCUUUAAUGGGUAGACUCUCUAAAGGAGCAGUCACUCCUGCUGUCUUCUAGUUAUCUUGCGGUUUUGUUGCUUUUUCAUUGGCCAGGUUGGGGGUGGGUUGCUUGAGUUGUUUUUCAUUCCAAUGGUCCAUGGGAGUUUCCUGCCUUCUAAGAGUUCAUAGGCAUUUCCCUUUUAAGACUCAGUCCUUUCUUUAAUCCCUAAGUUCCUAUCUCAAAAUGUUUGUCUGGUAUUUGUGAGUGUUUGACCCACAGCAUGUAUUCAGAAAUGGAUAUUUAUUGUGUAUAUCUAUUAAUAGUUUCGAUAUGUCAAAUUAACAGGUGGAAGCUUAUGGAGUCUUUUAUUUGUCCAGGCCACACAGGUUUAGAAUAGAGUCAGGUCAAUUGAUUAAAGCCCUCUCUAUUGUUAUCUCCCUGAAAUUUCCACACAACUAUACUCCCUCUUUGUGAUCCAUGGGAACAUUCUGAAAUGCUUCCUUUGAAGAUUAAGUAUGUAUAAGGUCCUUGCUUAGCAUCUGGACAGCCAUCUUAAGUGACAAACGCCAUUUGAAGGAAAAAGUUUUGCUUUCCCGCCCAAGGACAUUUCUGAGAAAGGCUCACCACUCUCUCAUACCAACCCAACCCCUAAUGCCCACAUGAGGACCCCCCCAGCUUUGAUUUCUGAACCUGCCCCAUAAAAGUCCCCAAACCCAAGCCUGUUUUGCCUCUCUUUUCUAUAGAGAGAUGACCUUUAUUUGUCAGCUCUGACAAAUAAACUCUGCUGUGUAUCUCUGCCUGAUCUCCGUCUUUCAUUUCUUGCUUACCCAUCUCUCUUUCUUCAUUUUCCCUUUAUUUUGGUGCCAAAACCUGGGAUUGGGUUCCCUGGUGUGCCCGCUCCCCUCUUUGAGGGUCACUGAGAGUCCCCGGCCUCCUUGAUCUAAAUUCCAUUGUGGGACCAAUCCCUCCAUCUGUACCCACCACUGGACAUUCUAGGUAAGACCACUGACUCUAGUCAACCUAACUGACCUAUGGGUCUCAGGAAAUGAACAUUGGGACAUGUGGUCAAGGCUACCUCUAGCAACUGCUUUCACAGCUAUGGCUGAUCCCUACUGUUGACUGGGUCUAUAGGGUCCUGGGUUUUGAGAAAAAAACCACCAAGGGUGACUGAGAAUUAUUCCUGGUGAGACUACCUCUCAGACUUGGGUUAAUCUCCAUGGGCUUCUGCCCCUACUGCAUAGUCCCUGCCAGGUGCCCAAGUGCCUCUAUGGGCUCCUGUCCCGAUGCUUACCCAGCUGUGGUGAUGUACCCCUGAGCAUAACCAUCCUCUCAACUAGGUGAUACGAGAGACUGGGGGAUGCCCCACCUCUAAAUCACCUCCUGUAUCUCAUCCUGGGCAGCUCCUCACCCAUUCCCUCCCAUGGUCCCCUAGGCUUUCUCCUGGCUAACCAAGGGUCUCUCUCUGUCUCUCUCUCUCACCCUGGACCUAACCCCACCCAAACUUAUCUGCUUGUGCAAUCAGAUCUGGCCUCAAUAUCCUUUGGAUACUGAUUCUAAAUGAUCAUUAACGACACUCUAGAUUCCAAUAUUAUCAGGGAUCUUUUCAACUAUUGUUAGUGUUCGUGAAAAUGGAAAGGGAUACUGUAUGUUCAGGCCUUCUCAUCUCUAUGUUUUAAGCUUUCUCUCUGCAACUCUUGCUCUCCCACACCAGUCCUCUUAACUCUCACCUCCCCAGUGCCCAGCAGAUGAACCCCCACCAUACCACAAUUCUCUUUCCAAUGAAGCCGCUGCAGCAACUGCCCCUUAGCCCCUUUGCCCCUCUCUCCUCUUGCUACCUGCUUAUAGGCUGCUGCUGCCCAACCUGCAUCUCUGUGUCCUCUAUGGGAGGUGGCUGGGGUAGAUGGUGUAAUAUGGGUUUAUAUGCCUUUCUCUUUGUCAGAUCUUUCACAGAUAGAAAAGUGGCUUGGGUCUAUACUUCAAGCCCCACCACAUAUAUCAAAGAGUUUCAAUAUCUGACUCAAUCAUAUGAUUUGACCUUCCACAAUGUCCAUAUAAUCUUGUCUAACACCCUCCUGCCCAAGGAGUGCAGGCAAGUUUGGGAGCAAGCUAGAAAUUAUGCUGAUGAGGUACAUCAGACCUCCCCUGCCCUUCUGAUUGGCACUGAAGCCGUCUCUGAUUAGGAUUAUAAUUCACCUGGAGGAGUAACUAGUGGAAACUAAUUGAUUACUUGCCUCAUGGCAGGAUUUAUAAAGGCAGCCCAUAAGGCUAUCAAUUAUGAAAAGCUCCAGGAAAUCAUCCAAGAUAAGAAUGAAAACUCUUUAGCAUUUUUAGAUUGCCUGACCAAGGUUUUAUUACACUAUACUAAUCUGGACCCUGAGAUUCCAGAUGCGAGAGAACAAUUAAUGACCUACUUUUUCUCCAAGAGUUUCCCCGAUAUUAAAAUGCCAAACUAAGCCAUCUUGAGGGUGGCCCCCAAACUCCCCAAGCUGAGGUUCUGGGAGUAGCCUUUAAGGUGUAUAAUGGGAGAGACCAGAAGGCCUGGAAGCAGAAAUAUCAGAUACUCACUUAAGCCAUCCAUCCAGCCUCAACAUCUGUCCCUGGUUCCAUGGCCUGGGGAAGGGUCCCCCGGGACCUCCCAGAAGGGUCACUAGGCUCCUACAUGUCCCAAGCCUCACAAGCCUCUGAGCCCUUGUCCUAAAUGCCAUCACGAGGGCCACUGGGCUUUUGACUGUCCCCAAGCCCAUAGUGGUCCCUGGCCACCCAGCCCUUCUAGUUCCCCUUUCUAACUCUUAGGACCAGCUGCAGAGGACUGAAAAGGCCUAGGUCCCCAUAACCUGACCACUACCAUCACUCCAUAGGAACCCAGGGUAACUGCGUAUUUCAGGUAGUCCUAUCUUCUUCCUCCUAGACACCGGGGCUACAUAUUCAGUCCUCAAAGAGUUCUGGGGCCUACUACUCAUUCUGUGACCUCUAUUGUUGGGGUAGAGGGUUAACCUUAUCAACACUUACAAACACCUAGCCUUGUUUGUGCUUUUGGCUCUGUAAUUUUUACCCACUUCUUUUUGGUCAUACCACAGUUCCCUGUUCCCCUUAUGGAAAGGGACACCAUCACAACAUUGGGGGUUAUGCUUUCCUUCUCCCCUCAUAUAUGCUUCCAUUCAGACUUGCCUACCACUCCCCUGAUCCUCACCCUUACCUUAGGAUCAUCCACUAUUCUGUCUGCCAGUGGCUUCCAAUUACCCCCUUCUGAGGUGGACCCUACUGUCUGGGAUAUUUCAAGUCCUCACACCUCACACCAUGAGCCCAUUCACAUCUGUCUCAAAAACUCCCUCCAUUUUCUGGCCUAAUCACAAUACUCGCUCUCCAGACAAAAUCUCCUAGGCUUAAAGUCUAUCAUUCAAGACCUCUUGCAAGAGGGAUUCCUUAGACCUACUCAUUUCCCUUAUAACACUCACAUCUUGAAAGUAAAAAAAAGUCCAAUGGUUCCUACCACUUGGUCCAAGACCUUCAUUCCAUCAACUCUGCGGUCAUCCCAAUCCAUCCCAUGGUAACCAAUCCUUAUACUCUUCUCUCCACCAUUCCUUCUGGGAGCUCUUACUUCUCAGUGCUAGACCUGAAAGAUGCCUCUUCUUUAUUCCCAUACAUCCUUACUUUUAAGACAUUUCACCUUUACAUGGACAAACCCUGAGUCAUGUAACUCCACUUUGUUGACAUGGACAGUUCUCCCCCAAGGGUUCUGAGACAGUCCUCUUAUCUUCGGCUAAGGAUCUAGCAUCCAUACAUCUCACUCAGCCUAUGGUGCUACAAUAUGUUGAUGACCUCCUUCUUUGCAGUCCCUCCUUUGAGGUCAGUCAUCAGGACACCUUUAUGCCUGUGGCCAUAGGGUUUCUCCAUCCAAGGUACAGCUUUCCUUGGCAAUGGUAACAUACCUAGGCCUCCUCCUGAUUGGACUAAACUCCUUCCCUUGGCUCUUAGGUUAUGGGUCCUCCUAAUGAAGCCACUCAACAUCUCCCCUUUUGAGCUUCUAUAUGGACGACCUAUCUCCUCGCUCAGCUCACCACCCUCUGAUUAUCCACUACCCCUUGCUCCUCAUCUUUUCUAGCCCCUUCUUGCAUAUAUUAGGAACAGCAAUACAGUGAUGCUGUUCUGGAAAAGCCUAGUUCUGCCUCUUCCCCUUCUCCCACUCUGUUUCCUGGUGACCUGGUACUUUUUAACCCCCCAAACAGGCUCCCCACCUUCUCUCAACUAUCUGCAAAAUGGAUUGAUCCCUAUUUGGUCAUUCUUACCACUCCCUUGUCAGCCUGCCUUGAGGGUAUCUCAUAUUGGAUUCAUAACUUCGUCUUUUUAUACAGUGACACCCACAGGCCCUCUCAAGCUGUAUUUCUCCAAGGCCAGAAUCCCCAUUCUUCCUUUGGUCUCUGAGGACCACAAGGACACUGCAAAACCAUAAGUACCAUCCUUCCCUUUUUCAUUUUGCCCUCCUCCCUCAUUCUACACUCAUUCCCAGGGGUACUAUUAUCAGGAAUUAUCAUUCAAUUUCUAGGAGACUUACAGCAACUUGCUCAAACCAUACUGACCGUACAAUCCCAGCUUGAUUCUUUAGCUGCUGUGGUUCUAAAGAAUCAAAGGGGCCAUAAUCUUCUUAUGGCCAAAAAAGGUGGACUUUUUACCUACAGGAGGAAUGCUAUUUUUAUGUCAAUCAAUCUGGUAUAGUAAAAGACAAGACAAAACAACUCCAACAGGACCUUGAAUGUCAAAAACAACAGCUAUCUUCUGCUGAAGGAUGGCACCUAAGUAACUCCCUUCUCCAGUGGGCACUUCCUUUUCUGACCCUUCUUCUUGUCAUAGGCCUUCUGUUAAUGCUUGUCCCCUGUGUCAUUAGAUUUUUUCAAGACCAAACCCAAAAUAGUCUAUAAUCAAACUAUAAACUAGCUUUUAUUUUUUUACAGGAAUACCAAUCCCUCACCAAAGAGCAUUCCACCACCACUCAACCUCUGUCAUCAUUCCAAUGUCAUCCCAUGUUUCUAAGGGAUUCAAGUGCCACUCCUUCCUAGCAGGAAACAGUUACAGAAGAUCAACCUACAUCCCUGUUCCCUAAGGGGCCCAAUAAAAAACACAAAAAGGGGGUAAUAUAAGGUCCUUGCUUAGCAUCUGGAAAGCCAUCUUCAGUGACAACCACCAUUUGUUUUGCUUUUCCGCCCAAGGGCAUUUUUGCUUUUCUGCCCAAGGGCAUUUUUGAGAAAGGCUCACCACUUUCUCAUACCAACCCAACCCCUGGUCCACUUUAUACUUUGAAUAUAGCCCUUGUUGCUCUGCCAACUUCUAAUGCCGGCACAAGGGCCCACCCAACUCUUCUGAUUCCUGUGCCUGAAUUCCUGAUUCCUGUGACUUUUAUGGAAAAGUCCCUGAACCUAAGCCUGUUUUGCCUCUCUUUGCUAUAGAGAGAUGGUCUUUAUUUGUCAGCUCUGACAAAUAAACUCUGCUGUGUAUCUCUGCCUGAUCUCCAUCUUUCAUUUCUGGCUUACCUGUCUCUUGUUUCUUACUUUCCCUUCAGUAUGUUUUUAUGAAAAGUACAGGUUUAGGAGGAACAGAAACUUGGAUUUAACUCCAAAUUCUGACAUCUACAGGUUAUGUAACCCCAGAAAAAUUACUCAGGUCCACAUUUUUCACAUUUGUGAAAGUACCUCAGGUUUGUUAUCAUUGAGAGAGAAAAGAGUCUACCUUCAAGUUAUUGGACACGCAAACAUGCAUAUAAAUAUAGAUAUAUAGAUAUGGGUAUAAAUAUUUAUAAAGAAAGGGCCUAGUAGAGUGAAUGUCUAAUGCAUAAAAUUUUAAUAAAUGGUACUUAAUUAUAUGAUAUAGAAGAUGGUAUUUUCAUUGAAUUUUUUUUUUAAAUUUUUUUGAACAAAAUAAAUUAAAAAAAAUUAAAUCUAAUGAAAAUGUAGACAGUUGUUUUGCAUCAAAGAAUUGCUAUCCAACACAUUAUUUAUGUCCAAAAUACACAAUCAUUAUCAAACAUGGAAUUUUUAGGCUUUUGUAAUUGACAAUUUUACAGGUAUGCGCAUCUAACAGAAUUUUCUGAAAUUAUUCAGAAAUUACUUCAAACCCAGAUUUUUUUUUUUUACUAAGUAGGCUUAUAUCUAGAUACUGACAGUACACAAUCAUACUAUCAUCAAAGAACCAGAGGUAUAUUUUGGAAAAAAUCAGAGUAACAUUCAAUAAGAAGCCUGAUGAUACAUAUCAAUCACAUCUCAUUUAAAUUUGUGACAGUGGUCCACUUUAUACUUUGAAUAUAGCCCUUGUUUCUCUGCCACUGCAACUUAUUUUCUUGUUUCUUUCUCUUCCUCUUUUCCUGCUCCUCCUUAAUUUCUCCCCUUCCCUUAUCAGGGGAAACAGUAUUACCUUUUUCCCAUCCUAGGCAGAGUUAUCUGUCCUUGAGCACACACCCAGUACAGGAAUGAAGUAACUGGGAAUGGCACCAGAAGAUCUCAGGAAUGACUAUUUCCCAAAUUAACAAGUGAAUUACAACUCUGAACAGAGAACACAUGGAAUAUAGCCUUUGAAUUACUUCUUUAAAAUCCCCUGUUGCCCUGAUGGGAGAAACACAGCCUCUGAGACAGGAUUCCUCUGUUUCUCCUUUGUUAGAAAAGCAAUAAAACUUUUCUCCUUUUUCUCAAAAAAACAUGUUGUUAUUAUUGGAUUGGCACUGGGAACAAGAACCAAACUUUCAGUAAGAUUAUGUCAUGUCUUCAAUUUCUUCCUGAGAAGAUAGCCAGUCUCCUAAAGAGAAAAAUGUGAAUUUGAGGGAUAGGAAAAUGGUAAUGGGAAUGGAUGUAAGACAAUAAAGGGGUUAGUCAUACUUGAAGAGAUGGACAUCAUACAUAAACAUAUUUAAUAAUUAAAUGGGGAAGGGUAUAUUUCAAUAAAUGUAAAAAAUUCUGAUUAAUUUGUUUCCAAAUGUAAUAUUUCUCCACAAGACAAAAUACCUGCUUAGAAAUGCUCACUUAGAGGCAAUGGAUUAUAGAUAAUUUGUUUCACUCUUCAGUCUCUCUUACACUAUUGUAAUAGCUAUGGCUGGGCACAUUUUUCACAUAUUAUUUGAAAAUUUGCAUACUUUUUUUAGAACCACGGAGUCACUGAUAAAAUAGCAUAUGAAUAGUUUUCUAGAUUAUCUUCUAAAUACUAUUAAAAUGCUUUUGCUAAUAGUGAUGCUUUUUAUCAAUCUCUUCCAUUUUCUUGAUAAAUCUAUCAAACAUGCCAUCAGAAACUAGAAAUAUAAAUCUCCUUUAUUUUGAAUCAAAUUCUCAUUGCCUAUCCAUAAAUGCCCAUAUCAAGAAAAUUUGACCUCUUUUACUUACCUUGGGGAAUAUUUUACCUGUGUCUGUUGUCCAUUUCUUGGAUGCAUAUCAAGUCUGUGCCUUCCCAGUGUAAUUCAGAGAGAAUGCUGGUCAAAGGUGAGCAUCCCUGGCUGUCUGUCAGGAGUUUAUUUACCUAUGAGAAGAUUUGCUUUUUUGUCUUCUUUUUGCACUAGGAAUUGAAUCCACAGACCCUCUGUCACUGAACCACACCCCAGAAUUUUUUAUUUUAAUUUUUUUAAGACAGGGUUUUGCUAAAUUGCCCAGGCUGACUUCAAACUUGUGAUCCUCCAGCCUUGUCCUUCUGAGUUGUUGGGAUUAUAGGUGUGCACCACCAUACCAGGCUAGGUUUUCAGUUUUCUAUUCCAAGGGCUCUGACUUCCAUUCACUUCUAAAUUGUUAAUGUCUUUUAUACAGCAGAUUCUUGCUCUCAUUGAAUCUUAUCACAAUAUUUGAAUUUUUAAUUAAAAUCAUCAUUAGAAUUUAGCAUGCUUUGAGUUUUGCUGAAUAACAUGUUUGGGAUUAGAACCUAGGAUUCUUGAUUCCAAUGUUCAAAUUUCUGCUUUAAUUGUUUUCUUUCACUACUUCCAGUAUAUCCACAAAUGUGCCUUAUAUUCCUGCAGAGCUUUUCCAAGAGUACUUACAAAUCAGGGCCUAAUGCUCAGAUUCUACCCACAGGUAUAUUUUACUUGGCCUACGCAAUAUCUUACAUUUUGUGAAUUACUUUGAAUUGAGGAUUCUCUAUUGAAACGAGUAUAUACUUUCCCGUAGUCCCCAGAUCAUGGUUCUUCAUUGCUUACUGAUAGUAAGACUGCUUCUGUUUUUCUUAUAUUUUGCUUCACUUAUUUGAAAAACCAUACUAUUCUCCAUUAGCAGAGUUUAUGACCAGAUAGGUAGUAUCUCUGAUACCAUUACUAGACAUUUAACAUUUUAAGAAAAUGUGGCAUAUGUAUAUACAGUAGAAUAUUAUUCAGUUAUAAAGAAAGGUGAAAUCCUGUAAUUUGUAGCAAAAAGGAUGGAACUGGAGGACAUUAUGUUAAGUGAAAUAAGCUAGACACAGAAGGGCAAGUAUCAUAUUUAUUUGUCAUAUAUGAAAGUUAAAAAAGUCAGACCUAAUGUGGAAUAGUGACUGGUUGAGAAUGGCAAGGGGAGGGUGGAUGAGAGGAGGCUAGAUUUGAUUGGUACAUAACAGUUUAAAUAUAUUGAAAUAUCCUGUUGAACUUUAUUAAUAUGUACAUUUAAUACAUACUAAUAGAAAAUACAAAGCAAAAAGAAAUUUAGCUUUUUAAAUUGAAAUAUUCUUCUCCAUUUCAAAAGUAAUUUGCUCUUUGUCAUGCGUGAUGUUACAUGCCUAUAAUCACAGUGGCUCAGAUGGCUGAGACAGGAGGAUUAUAAAUUCAAAGUCAGCCUCAGCAACAAAGAGGCACUAAGCAACUCAGUGAGACCCUUUCUCUAAAUAAAAUACAAAAUAGGACUGGUGAUGUGGCUCAGUGAUUGAGUGCCCCUGAGUUCAAUCCCCAUUCCCCCCCUCCAAAAAAAAAAAACAAAACAAAAACAAUAUGCUAUUUAUAAAAAGUAAAAAUUAAAAAUAUCAAAAUUACUUGUAAUCUAAUCUAAUUUACUUAAGUUUCAUGCAUAUGAAAUAAUCAGAGAAGAUUGUGAAACAGUGUUUCUCUCAGGUGGGUAAUUUAGGUAAUAGAAUACUCAAUGAAGAAAAUUUAAUGGCUCACACCUUCAAACCAUUCAGAAGCAGGACAGCUUUCACAUGAAGCUCAAUCAAUUCAGUUUUCCCCUCUAUAACAAUAAAAAAUUAAAAAAAAAAAAAAAAAACAAUAAAAAAGAUAGUAACUGUAUUGUAACUGUAUUAGCAUACUGUGGAUGAUGCCACAAAUUAUCACAAACUUGCUGGCUUAAAACAACAGACUGCUUUACUAUCAUAGAUCUGGAGACCACAAGUCUAAAAUUAGAAUCACAGGGUUGAAAACAAGACUCCAAGGUCAUAGGAGAAGAUUCAUUGCUUGCCUCUUGCAGCUUCUGGCAUUCUUUGUCUUGUGGUCUCUGCCCUUGUAUUCACAUCACCAUCUUGUCUCUUUGUGUUAAAACUUCCUCAGCUUUCCUCUUUUGAGGAGAAUUUUCAUUGCCCUUAGAGCAUAUCUGGACAGUUCAGGAUAACCUCACCAUUUCAAGUGCCUUAACUUCAUCAUGUCAGCAGACUCUUUUUUCUUCAUAAAGUAAAAUUUGCAGGUUUUAAGAAUUAGGACUUGAUGUCUUUGGGUGGCCAUUAUUCGGUCUACUACAACUACUUAUUAUUAGAUUAAUGAAUUGGUAUGUAUAAAGAAUUUAGAAGCAUUGAUAAACAUGUUAUUGGAUACUGUUAUUACUGUUAUUAUCAUAUAUAUAUAUAUAUAUAUAUAUAUAUAUAUAUAUAUAUAUAUAUAUAUAUAUAUAUAUAUAUUUGCCAUAGAAAUCUACUCCCUGGCCAACUAUCCAUCAUAUAAAAAGAUCCUUGCUCCUUUGGACAACAAGCCCAUUAACAGCCCCAACUAGCAUAGGUAUAUUAAGAUCUAAAGACAUUCUCCUUAUCUAGUGUUGCAUUUGUAAAUGUGUACCAGCAUUUUCAUACUACAUAAGCCUUCUCCUUAGAGAUACUUAAUUCUCCAUAGAACUUGGUACCUUGUACUUCAUUGUUCUAUCUUGAUCCAUUUAAUACUUACAAAUAUUGGAUACUAUUAUAUGGUUAGGGCCUACCUUUGCUAUUAUUUCAAUUGAUUUUUUAAAAUUUAUUCAAUCAAUUUAAAAUCUAUUUUUAUAAUGUUUUAUUCAUUUAUGUAGGUCCUAAAUUUUGAUGGCUAUCAAAUUGGUAACAAUUUUCUCUAUUCUGUAGAACAUUUUGACAGUGGAGGUGGAUUAGUUGAUUGUAUAGCAUGUUAUUUAGUUAUUUAGUUUUCAGUGAUGAGUACAUCUUUUUGUUAUGUCUGUAAGUACUAGAGUUAAGUACUGGAAUUAGGUGUUUGUAGUGUAAUACUAAAUUUUAUCCACUUGGUGGCUACUAUGAUUAAACUUCUGGUCAAUUUUUACUUUGAGAAUAAGAUUUAGUUUAUAAUCAGCUUUAAUUACUGGAACUUAUGCUGAAAUUCUUUAUUAUUUGUUCCUUCUAAUAUAUUUUUUUGCAGAUUAUUAAAACUGACAUUAAGUAUUUUAUUCAUUUUUAGAGAUUGUCCUUAAAAUUCAGCUUUUUAAACAUUAGAAUAUUUUUUCCAUGUAGUUUGACAUUUGGAUUGAUACAAAUUGCUGAAAGUAGAUAAAUUAUAGUUUCAAUUUUAAAUUGGUUUUCAAUCUAUAAAUUCAUUUUUCUAAGCAAAUGAAGGUCCUCUACCUAAUAUUUUAACUUGGGAAGAGUAUGAAAAUAUUGUGAGAGCCCUAGAACUUGUAUUAUUGUAUCUUUUUUUAAAAUUUAAUUUAUUUUUUGUUAGCACAUUAUAGUUAUAUGUAAUAGUGAAAUUCACUGUGACAUACUCAUACAUACAUAUAGUUUACUCCUUUUUAGUACUCAGUACUUCAUUUUCCCUCCCCUUAGUCCCACCCCAUUCCCCUUCCUCUACUCUACUGAUCUUUUUUUUUCCUUUUUUUUCCCUCUUGAUACUGAGGAUUGAACUCAAGGAUGCUCUACCACUGAGCUACAUCCCCAAACUUUUGAUACUCCUGCCUCAGCCUCCCUAUUUACUAGGAUUAUAGGCAUGUACCACCGUACCUGGCUAUUCUAUUGGUAUUUCUUCCUUUUAUUUGUUUUUUAAGUUGGCAGCUUAUAGGUAUGUAUAAAGGUGAAAUUUACUGUGGUAUAUUCAUAUAUGUACAUAGUAUAGUUUGGUCAAUUUCAUUUCUCAUUUCCUCCCUUUUCCUAUCCUUCCUCCCUCCCCCUCGAUCCCCUUUGUCUAUUCCAUUGAUCUUCCUUCUAUUUUCAUAGGGUACCCCUUUUUCCUCCUUAUUUUGCUCUAGCUUCUGCGUAUGAGAAAAAAAAAAUUUUGACCCUUGACUUUCUGGGUUUAGCUUAUUUCACUUAGCAUGAUCUCCUGUUCCACUCAUUUACCAGUAAAUGCCAUAAUUUCAUUCUUCUUUGUGGCUGAGUAAAAUUCCAUUGUGUAUCUCUACUAUAUUUUCUUUAUCAGUUUGUCUGUUGAUGGACACCUGGGAUUCCAUAACUUGGCCACUGUGACUUGCAUUGCUAUAAACAUUGCUAUAAACAUUUGGAACAUUGUGUUCCAAAAUGAUUCUAUUAAUUUACAGUCCUUCUAACAAUAUAUGAGUACACCAUUUUUGCUUGUUUACUUUUAUUAAGUACAUGUUUACAGGGGAAUCAUAUUGUAUUAUUUGGAUACAAAGCUAACUAUUUUCUUAAUUUAACUCUUAAUGAAAUAAUUGGGGGGGCAUAGACAGAGGUACUCUAGAACCUUGAGUCCUUACUAAGUAAAACAAAACAACUUAAACUAGGUACUCAGCUUGUAUCCCAGGAAAGUAAAAUUUUAGCUUAAUCAAUCAGAAAACAUCAAGUAAUCUUGAACUUUAAGGCUACUGUUGCUCAUUAACCAGUUAACUGUUUUCUUUGUCUUGAUUCCAGGAACACCAUUGAAAAGCCACUCUUCACCCCCAGCCCCUCUGAUUGUUGGUGAUACCUGUUAUUCACUGUCCAAGAAAUUCUUUAAAACUUCAAUAUGCCAAAAAAAAAAGAUGUCUAAGUUUAUCUUUGAGCUCACCAAAAAGGGAUAUUAAAGACUAUGUCUUAAUUUUUCCCUAUCUUAUCAUUAUGUGAAUCACCAUCAGUAUAUGACACAUUUUUUCUGCUUUUAUGGCACAUUUCCUAUAGUCCUAUAUUGCUCUAAGUUUGAAAAAAUCUAAUUUUUUAUUGCUAAGCUUAAAACACUUUGUUUUUCUGGGAACACAAACUGAAUAUUAUAAAGAUAAGAUUUAUUGUUCUUAAUAACAACACUUAUUUUUAUCUCAAAUACAUACAUUAUUAAUAAUAUGAAUAAUUAAAACAAUAAAAAUAGAGGCCUUGCUUCCAGUGAACUCAAAAUAAGAGAGAUAAAUAAAGCUAUAUGUAAUUAAGAUUUAUUUACAAAAUAUGAGGUGGAAAAAUUCAGUGUGUUUACUCAAUAUUUUUCAUUAAACAUUUAAUAACUUAAAAACAUUGUAAGAAAUCUUGGAGGACUCAAACACUGCCUAAGAUAGAACUAACGGCUAUUAUUAAAAAUUUCACUAAUCCAAACUUAAAAUAUGUAGAAUUCAUUCAUAUUUUUGAAGUUUAUAAAUCUUCUUAGUGAGUUUCAUCAAAUGUUGGGUUGAAAUAUCUAAAGUAUAAACAUGUUAAGUGAACAAAGUUGGUAUAAAUAAUUUGAAUGACCAAUGCUAAAAUGAUUCCUUAUAAAUCUCUCUAGUGUCUUUUUAUAUGUGAAAUUAGAAUUCAUGGGUCAUGGUAAUAUUUUUAACUUUACUAGAAAAUAUCAAAUUUCUUUCUAAAGUGGAUUUCACAAUUUACACUCACCAGUUCUUGGUAUUGAAAGACACUUAAAUUUUUGUUGAUAUCAAUCUGAUAGAAUAUUUUAUUUGUCUUCCUCUGAGUGUUAUUUAAUGUGAGCAUGUUUUUCUUUAUUGGCCAUCUCUGCUUCCUCAUUUUAGAAUUGCCUGUGGACAUCACUUACUCAUUUUCCCUUAAGAUUACUUAUGUUGAUUUUUGUGAGUACUUUAAGUACUCGCUCAUUCCUGUUAUGUGAAUGAUUUGAAGUUUAUGUGCAUUGUAAAUAAAUUCUCUUGUCAAGUGGUCUUGUCUUUUUAUUUUAAUAAUUCUAGUGUUCUAUAUAAGUUUAAGUUUUAAUGAAAUUAACUGUAUCAACCAUUUCCCUUUUUUAUCUGUCCUUAUUUAGUAUCUUGUGUGAAAAAUACAUUCCUACCCCAUGAUCAUAAAAAUGUGAUCUUUAUAGGUAUUUUUUUCCAUACAGAUUUCAUUCAGAUCCAGUUUUUGAAUAAUGAAUCCUUCUGCCCU